rnacentral:lncRNA from 1 species
CACUGCUGAAUACAGAUAGACAGUACUUAAAUAAGGGAUACUACUAAAAAGCAAUUAAUAUUAUUUCACUAUAUACAUGCAUGCCAGUAGUCUUUUGUAAUACCAUAUAUAUGUAGAAUAUUAUUAGAAAUCGUAGCAAUUAAGCUACUAGCUAGGGUUUCUCAUUCGUAUUGUGAAGGCCAAAGGAAGGCUCCCAUGGCAAACUUCCUCUUCUGGUUGACAUCCCCAAUGAGUGGGAGGCCGUACUGCUUCAUAAGGCAGUCCAGUUUCCAUUCAGGCAUGCUCUCAUAGUCACUCUUCUGGUACCUUGGGUAGUGCAGAGGCAUCUGGAAGUUGCAUGGGGUGUUGUUCUUGCUAGUUUGCUCAUUUACUUGGAGACCGCCGGGCAUGGUGAAAGCGUGGUUGCUAAAGCCAGUUCCAGUGGUACUCAUCUUCUCAAAUAUGUUGAGAAAGCUGGUAACUCAUGCAGAGUUGCUAACUUGGUAGUUGGUGUUGCAAAGUUGGCCUUUUAUAGGCAUCCCAAAGAGCAUGAUAGUGGAAGAUUACUCGAGUAUGCGCUUGAAGAUAAGACAGAGCAAUCAAGAAAACAUUUAAUGCGAUGAAAGCUAAAUCACAUUGAAGAAUGUGUGGUGACAAACUUUUGAGUGUUACACAUUCAUACUAUCAUGUGGUGUUAGCGAAAUACGUAUUAAUAUAUAUAUAUAUAUAUAUAUAUAUAUAUAUAUAUAAUACGUGUUUCAUAUUUAUAAAUCAUAGAUAAAAAUUCAUAUUUUAUGACUCAUGAAAAUAGUAUUAACAAAUAAUAUAUGUUAUACAAUAUAAGUAAAUUAAAUCAUGUGACAAUAUUGUAACCCCCACAUCAAAAAGAUUACUGAGCCAUCUUUUGGUAGAUUUUCAUGACGAAGGUAAACUUGGAUAAAUUUGGAUUCUAGGCCUCGUUUGAUAUUUAGGAUUGGGUUAGUUUGGACAAUCCAUUUCAAUGAAAGUUGAACAAAAAUAGGGAUGCCAACUUGCAUAUUUUGUUAAAUGAAGGUAGAAGAUGGAGAAAUCAUGAAGAAAACUUAUCCCUCAAAAUCCCCACAAAAAUGGUAGAAUUGAGAGGGCCAAAUUUGCUUCAUGACUUUUCUAUCUUCGACCUAGAGUAGACGGACGUUGGUUAGGUUUGAGAAGAUGAGUUUUUGGAAGAAAAUAUUUUAGGGAUAAAUUUGGGAUUUUCUGGAUCAAAUAUUUUAGUUUGGUGUAUUAAUUUAUUUAAAAAUUGGGUGCCAAUAGAGGCACCUGAAAAUUAUAGUUAGCAAAUAAAUUAUUGGACCAAAAUACUUUAUGGAACCGUUGAAUACAUGGUAAUAUUGUCAUUUGCCAAGGUGGAAGGAAUUAGUUGUGAUGUAUCUAGUGUUCCAAUAAAAUUGAUAUUGAGGAGGGAGUAAUUGUUGGAAUCAAAUUUGUGCACUAUCAUGGAUGGCGGAGGCACAAAUUAGAGUAACAUUUAAAACAGAAAAAACCGUGAGCAAGUCUAAGAUAGGGUGAGUUGUGUGUGCCAGCCAAAGGAUCUCUAACGAUCAGGUUAGUAAGCAAGUAUAAGACUAAAGCAACGGGUAAGAGAAUUAGAGAGCGAUGAUUGUGCUACCAGAGAUGAACCCUGUGUGUAUUUAUAUCAGUCGAGAAAGAGACAUUUUUAUGAUAGAAUCUUUGUGCUAAGUUGAGAGAAUCUUAGAGGAUAUCUAGAAGUAAAUAUUGUCAUCCUCUUAGAAUGUGAUUACUUGUGGCGCACGCCAAUUCCUAGAUUGUAGGAACUGUAAUACAUAUAGAGAAUAUGGUUGAUUCUGUGCUGGAUCAUAUCCUCUUAUCUUGAGGAACAAGCAUGGUCAUUCUCAACGAAGUUGCUGAAACUUCACUCACUGCUCUGGAAUAGGAUGAUGGUGGUACCACUGCUUCGUUUGAUUUAGCUCCGCUCGGAGCUGUUGAGUGCAUGAUCAGACUCCUGAGGUAAUUGUAUUCUAAUUAGCCUUAUUCGGCCCUGGAAAAUUAUAUAGUCCAACGGUAAUUAUAAAAAAAAAUAAAUAAAAAAAAAACCUCAAGAAUAAGAGCAAGCAGAUGAUCUCAAUCACUUGAGUAAUUGGCCCUUGCUGAAAUGUAUGUAGUUGUAAUACCAAGAUGCUAAUAAUGCCAAAAUAUCCUGAUAAUGCUACUAAAUGCCAACAAAAUGCUUUUCCGAACAAUUCUGAUAUAUUUUCUUCCCUGAUAUCAUAGCAACUUGAUCAAUGUCCCUCUUUCAAUAAAUCCCUGGCCUUGGCCAGUUGUUCCUCUAUGCCAAAAUUGGAAUAAGUCCUCACAACUAUUCAAUGAUCAAGUGCAAAUGUUGAGCAUAUGUCGCCCAAUGAUGAGGAUGCCAAAGCUCCAGUCCAUUUUUAAUGACAUAUAAUUGUUAUAGCUAGUUAUACUUAUGCAUCACUUGAUGAAUUCAGAUAAACAACAGCCAAUCAAUCUCACUCAAAUCGUUAAUUUGUCUAUCGGAAAAUCAAUGAAGCGCAACAACAUUGCAUUGCAUUGCAGCCAGAAGAAUCGAUCUGCCAUCUUUUUCUCAACCCUAGCAAUUUGAAUCGAUCUGAGUGGAUAAACUGUGUGCGUGCUCCCGGACGCAAGAAAAUGAUCUAUAAUCUAUGAUCUAUCCUUGUCUCUAGCAAACCGAAUCGAUUAAGGCAAAGGGACCCGAAACACAAGUGGGCUUAACUAGUUAUAAGAAAGUCAAAGUAUUUGGAUGUUCACAACGAUCACCAGAUCAUGAAAAGACAUAUUUCAUGCUCAUUAGGGCAGCUGGAGCAUUCUAGUUCUACGAGUGAAAUGAUACAAGGUUAUUAUUGAUCCACAUCAAUCUCAGGUUGUGGAGUUGAAACGUCAUGCAUGCAUGGUGGGCAUGGGAUUGCAGGAAGGUGACUGACUGGAUAAAAAUGAAAUAGAAGGGUACUGAUUAUUUUCUGUGUCCGAAUUUGUGUGCCGUGGAUGAGAGGUCAUGUGUUAUUUUCAUAUUUAUUGAGAAAACCUAAUGUGAAGAAACUUCAUGCCAAACCCACUUCACCUAAGAUGGCAUCUAAUAGGAUUUUCACCAUCUGCAUACUCAGGGUUAAAUCCCAUAGAGUACUUGCAAGAGAAUAAAGUUAUUGUAGUAUAACGGCUCAAGCAAAGACGAUCUUCAUAGAAACUGAGAUGAAUAUUUUGUGUUUAAGUACAAUUCUUAUUUAACUAUUUAAUACAAGAUUAAGAAAGAUGAGAAUAUUGAAUAAAAGUAACAAGUGCAAAUAAAGAGAAAUAUUACAAGCUAAAAAUAAUAAUUGUAAAAAUAGCAAUCCAAAAAGUUUAAUAAGCAUUAGGGUUCAGCCGUCACCAGUAAAAAUCCUAUGUAGUUCUAUUAAUUACUUUUGCGUCAACACAUGCAAACUUUCAGCUUAGGUUUUCCUUAUGCAUAUUCCACUCGUGACAUUCAAGUUAGAACGUAUAUCCAAUAUGCAAUGCGUAAUUUGACAUUCACAUAAAAAAUCAACAUGCAAGACUCGUUAAAUUUUGUGAGAGCCUUAUAAAAAACCAGGGUAACCUUAAGAGCAUGACACUCACGUGAACAUACAAUUUCCAACCACAAGAAGCAUUAACCAAUUUCAGGCUGACAUUCCAAUAGGAAUUGCAUCCGAUUACUUGUCUAAACAUCUUAAUAGCGAUAAAGUGUUAAGACAUAAAGAUAGUUUAAAACAGUGAUUGAAAAUUCAAAGUAAGCAUAUAUAACAAUAUAAGUAAGUUAAAAAGAAACUAUAUAUUCAUGUUAAAACUCGUAACCUCGCCCAAGCAAAAGAGUUAAUUAGAAAUAAAACAUAAUGGAAUAUCAAAAGUUUUCUUGUGUUGGGAUCAAUAUUCUAACAAAUGCAAGGCACUAGUCGAGCGAUGGGUUGGGGCUAGGCGGGAGCCUAGGCGGAUUUGAAUAAUUUAUUAUAUAUUAUAUAAACUAAUUAAAUUUGAACAUUAAAUAAUAUGUUAUUUUUCAAAAAGGUGAGAGUUUUAGCCUUUUAGGUACAUAAUAAAAAUAUAUGUGGUGUGAUCUUAAAUAGGGUAAUAAAACCCCAUAAAAACAAACAUAAAAAAGUGACAUUUAAGAGAGAAAAAAAUAGUAAAAAAAGAUGGUGGGACCAUCUUAAGAAAAAUCAUGCAAUUAAAAAUUUUAAAUGAUGUUGGGAAUAGGGUUGUCUCCUUCCUUGCACGAGGUUGACUCUGCAACAAAAGAUUUCCAAAUUCCGACGCUUACAUAUAAUCCCGCCUAGCUUCCGCCCAUCCCAGCCUAGACUUGCCUAACUCCACUUUAUCCGGCCUGGGCGUCCGCCCAAUGUGCUUUCCGAUUUUGUGGCUGAUCAUGAGUUAAAUCGCGGCAGCCUACUUGAUCUAGCACCUAGGCAGCCGCCUAGGCUAAUUUUUUGAACACUAGGUGGGAUCUUAGUUUAGUUCGUUGAAUUCUGGUAAAGCGGACACUCUCCAAACUACAAGCACUGGGUAGAGACAAGAUUCUAUAUUUCAAGGAUAUUGCGAUACACAAGUCUCGAACUUUAUUCCAUUUGUUUAAUUUCAGUUUGUUUUAUUCAAAUUGUAUCCAUGUAUAUAGUUGUAAUUUAUUGUUCAUUAGCAUAUAAUUUUGGGUACAUAUAUUUCAAAUUUAUUUCUGCAAUAUAUUAAAUUUGUGAUUGAUUGUUGAUACUUAUCUAACAUCUUGAACACGUGCUUCAUAAUGAUCAUCUCGGUUGAGGUAUAUUUGCAACCAACAAGUAAUUGUGUACACAAAGAUGGUUUUCAUCCAAUAAAAUUGGGAUUCAAGUCAAAUUUUUAAGUUGUGCUCAUAGUUACCGCAGUUUCGGUCACUUUUGGGGGACAAUAUUCUCGACGUUAGGAGGAGAAAUGAUAGUUUUCAAAGAACGCCGAGAAUUAGCGUUGAUACAUGUGCAUUUGUCUCAUCCAAACUAUAUAUGAGUUAGAAGGGACUAUGAUGAUUAAUCUAUUGCAUGCCUAAAGCAUGACAGAUAUAUAAGUUCUAAACUUUGAACUCUCUGUAAGUGGAGAUUAAUUAAGUUCAAGUCCUAAUUGAAAAUAACUCUCCGUAGGAGGGCAUAUCCAAGUAAUUCAUCUUAAGAUAUUUGUCCUAGAUGUAACAAUGGAAGCCCCAAAGAGUCAUUGUACCCAAGCAAUGGAAUACUUAUAUAUUAAGCAUGCCAAUGAGAAUUGUUAGGUCACAAAUUGAUGAUAAUCAAUAAUUAUUAUAAUAGCUAAUCAUAUCAUGAAGGACUAUUUAGUCACGUUUUCCCAAAAAUAUCGACAAAGUAAAGGGUGGCCAAAACUAGAAAGAGAUAAUUCCAUUUUGAGCCACUGAAAAACGUGAAAUCAAUGAACCUAUAAUUUAAACCCCAAAUUUAUUCUUGCGUGUGUGUAAUAAAAAUAAAUAAGCCCACUAAUAUGGCAUAAGACUUUGUAAUAUAUUUCAUUAUAGAUGCAAUCACAUUUCUAGAAGUACAGUGUUAAUUUAGACGUGAGACUUAUCACUUUGUGGAGAUUGCAUACUAACCAUUUGAGAUUUUAUCUCUCAAAGUAAUUCUUACAGUAUGAAAAUGCCAUGAAAUUCUUUAUCAAAGUUCUCAAAUGAAGUUCCUAAAUUUAUUUGAUUACAUUAAUGCAAGACUACAGUUAAAAAUUUAUAAUGUAUUGUUGAAUACUUUAGAAAUUGUAGUAAAGCUAGUGUUUCUGCUACUCUCAUUCAUGCUGGGAAGGCCAAAGGAAGGCCCCCAUGGCAAACUUCCUCUUCUGGCUGACACCUCCAAUGACUAGGAGACCGUACUGCAUCAAAAAAUAGUCCAGUUUCCACUCAAGCAUGCUCUCAGAGUCUCUCUUCUAGUAUCUUGGGUAGUGUAGAGGCAUCUGGAAGUUGCAUGGGGUGUUGUUCUUACUAGUUUGCUCAUUUCCUUGGAGGUCGUUGGGCAUGGCGAAUGUGUGAUUGCUAAAUCCAGUUUCAGUGGUACUGAUAAACCCUCAAUCAACCUUAAUACAAGAAGCCAUGAAAGAACUCGAAGAGAGAGAGAGAGAAAGAGAGAGAUAUAGACAAAAGGAUUUCAGUAUUAUUCAUAAUCGUUUUCUGUUUUCUUACAAACCUCACUAUAUAGUUUCUGUUCUCUAACUAUUCUUAUCUAAUUACAACUAUACCAAUAACCUCCUAACAACCUUAUUACACUAAUCCCACUCAAUUAGUCAAUUGAUGCCGGUCACAACCCCACUUAGCUACUAGUAAAUCUCAUCAGAAUCGUAACAUUACUCCCCCCUUUGAAAUGAGCCUUGUCCUCAAGGCUGUAAGUCAGGAACGGAGUCAAUCUGCGUUCCCAAAAGAGCCUCCGAUGUUGAGUCAUUUUGUAUCAAGUCAACAUCCUGAACAGAUGGUAAUGAAAUAGUAGGAACAACUGAAGUCCCUAAUUUCUUUUUGAGACAGGAAACAUGAAAGACUAGAUGAAUCUUGGAAUGACUUGGAAGUUUCAACUUAUAUGCCACAGAACCCACGCGAGUCAGAAUCUCAAAGGGACCAUAGAAGCGAGGAUGUUUAUGGAAAGGAUGCAAAGCUAAAGAUUUUUGGUGAUAGGGAACCAACCUGAGAUAAACAAAAUCCUCUACAUUAAAUGAUCGUUCAGUUCUGUGCUUGUUGGCUUGAGUUAUCAUCCGUUCUUGAGCAGCUGCCAAGUUAGUUUUCAAGAGUGAUAAAACUCGGGUUUUCUCUUUCAAAUAGUGAUCCACCAUAUCAACCUUUGUCGUGCCUGAUUCAUAGAAUGGAACAUAUGGUGGUGACUGACCAUACACCACUUCAUAAGGUGUCAUUUUAGCUGCGGAAUGGUAUGAUGUGUUGUAGCUCCAUUCUGCCCAAGGAAGCCAUUUCAACCAUUGCUUGGGUUGUAAGCUACAGAAACAUCGGAGAUAGGUUUCCAAACAUCGAUUUAGAACUUCAGUCUGGCCGUCAGUUUGAGGAUGGAACCCGGAGCUAAAACAAAGCUUAGAACCUUGGAGUUUAAAAAAUUCUCUCCAAAAUGAGCUGAUGAAAACGGGGUCUCUAUCAGAUACAAUAGAGGAAGGCAUGUCGUGCAAUUUGAAUAUUUGAUCAGUGAAUAUUUGGGCCAUUGAAUGAGCUGUAUAUGGGUGAGCUAAUGGUAAAAAAAUGGGCAGCUUUUGAGAAUUUGUCGACAAUGACAAAGAUAACCGAUUUACCUUUGCAAAGAGGAAGCCCUGUGAUAAAAUCCAUAGCUAUAUCAGACCAAAUUCUCUGAGGAAUAGGAAGUGGAUGAAGAAGUCUAGCAAGAGAAAGUGUUUCAUACUUAUUCUUCUGACAGAUAUCACAUUUAGCAACCAUUUCCUUGAUAUUGUUCUUCAUACCCUCCCAAUAAAAAGAAUGAGAUAUCCGCUUAUAGGUCUUGAGAAAACCUUCAUGUCCUACAGAUGGUGUACAAUGGUGUUCUUCAAAUAGUUUAAGUCGCCAUGAACUUGUAGGACUGAGAACAAUCCUAUUUUUAUACUUCAAAAACCCAUUAUCAAUCUGAUAUUUAAGCAAGUUCAAGGUGCAGAAUCUGAGGGUGUUUGUACAACAGCCUGAGACUUCUGUAUGAUCCAGUCAUCUCUUUCAAUGUGUCGUCGUAAAUCAUCCAUCCAAGACAUAUAAGGGUACAACAAUGCGAGUAGCAUACUAUUGACAUCGAGACAUUCCAUUGGAACUGUAACACUAUUACUCUGAUCACUGCCCACAACUAGACUAGAAACUAUAGCAAGGUCAACAUUAGGAUGAGCUACUGUACUAACCCGAGAUAAAGCAUCAGCUGCUCUAUUUUCACUGCCCUUCUUGUAUUGGAUUUCGUAAUCAAAUCCAAGUAAUUUGGAGACCCAUCGUUGUUGGAUAGGCGAAUUAACUCUGUUUUGAAGAAAAUACUUGAGACUAUGGUGAUCGGACUUGAUAAUAAAGUGGUUCCCAAGCAAAUAGAAUUGCCACUUUUUAACUGCAUGCAACACAGCUAACAUCUCUCUUUCAUACGUAGACAAUGCUCGAAUUUUUUGGUCCAAGAGCUUGGCUAAGAAAUGCAAUAGGUCGACCUCCUUGCUGCAGUAUUGCUCCAAUUCCAGUACCCGGUAUCAGUCUCAAUAAUAAACGGUUUUGAAAAAUCGGGAAGUGCCAAAACCUGAGGAGACAUCAUUACAGUUUUGAGUUCCAGAAAUGCAUCAGUGGCUGCACAACUCCAAGUAAAGUUAUUCUUUUUAGUGAGUUGAGUCAAGGGUGCACUGUUUCUUCCAAAGUGAGGAAUAAACUUCCUAUAAUACCCAAUUAAUCCAAGAAAACCCCUUAAGGCUUUCACCGAAGUAGGCAGAGGCCAAUCUGCAAUAGCUUUCAAUUUUGAAGGGUCAGCAGCGACUCCAUUCUGAGAAACAACAUGGCCCAAGUAUUCGAUUUGAGUUUGUCCAAAAGCACACUUGGACAUUUUCACAAACAACUGAUGAUCGUGGAGUAAACUGAGGGCAAGACUCAAAUGAUGCAAGUGUAAUUCCCAAGAGGCACUAUAUAUGAGAAUAUCAUCAAAGAAAACUAAGAUGAACUUCCGCAAAUAAGGCCUAAAAAUCGUAUUCAUCAGACUCUGGAAUGAUGCAGGGGCAUUUGUGAGACCAAAAGGCAUAACAAGGAACUCAUAAUGCCCUUCAUGAGUUCGAAAAGCAGUAUUCUCAAUGUCUUUGGGGUGCAUACGGAUUUGAUGAUAACCAGACCUAAGAUCCAAUUUGGAGAAAUAUUUGGCACCAAAAAGUUCAUCCAACAAUUCAUCAAUUAAUGGUAUAGGAUACUUGUCCUUGACGGUAAUUAAGUGGAGUGCCCGAUAAUCCAUGCACAUCCUCCAAGUACCUUCUUUUUUCUUCACCAAGAGCACUGGAGAUGAGAAAGGGCUAUGGCUUGGCCUUAUAAAACCAGAUUCUAAAAGCUCCUUGACACACUUCUCGAUUUCAGUUUUUUUAAAAGGACCAUACUUAUAAGGUCUAGCACUCGGAAGCUUGCUUUCUGGCAACAAUGAUAUCCUAUGAUCAUGGGAUCUUGAUGGAGGUAGGCCAGAUGGAGAUUGAAAAAUAGGCUGAUACUGUGCUAACAGCUUGCAGAUCAUUUUCUUGGAGGGAAGUCAACUGAGAGUGAUUGGUUGGACUGGAGUUUUCUGCACUAACUUGUAAAACAAAUAGGGCAGCGCCUAAGCAAUGAUCCUGAGUGAGUAACUUGUCCAUUUGUAAGGAAGAAAUGGAUUGAGGCUCUUGAGAAUGAGGACUGGAUAUGGAGAAAGUGGUAUUGCCCACUACAAACUGCAUAACCAUUUUUUCAAAAUCCCAUAACACCGGUCCUAAUGUCCUCAACCAUUGUACGCCGAAAACAAUGUCACAUCCACCCAAGGGAAGAGCAAAGAAAUCGAGCACAAUAUCAUAAUUUUGUAUUCUAAUAGAAACUUUAGCUAAACAACCUGUACUAGUGAGGGAUCCCCUAUCUGCAAUCUUAACAGUAAAUGGGUGUGUAGUAUCCAAAUGGCCUUUCAACUGUUUAACUAGUGCAAUAUCAAUGAAAUUAUGCGAGCUCCCUGAAUCUACCAAGAAAAUAGCAGGACAAUUGAAUACUAACCCUUGUAUUUUCAUAGUUCUGAUGGACUUUGGAGCAGGCAUCCCAUAAACUGCACAGGCAGUAACCUCAGGCUCGUCAUGAAUCUUUGAAUGGUGCUCCACAAGGUCUCCAUCAUCAUACAUAUCCAAGAGUAGCACUUGCCAUUUUGGACCCACACAAACAUGCUCCCGAGAAAAUUUUUCAUCAUAAUUGAAACACAAUUUGUUCUUCCUUCGAAACUCAAUUUCCGCUGCUGUUAAACGCCUAAAUUGCUCAGAUCUUGAAGAAUGCUCAGGCUUUGGUGUGUUAGUGAUAUCAUAUAAUGGCGUAGGCUUGAACUAGAGUGCAGAUGAAUAAGUUCUUGGAAAAGAUCGGACCUUCAACUCUGCCAAUUUAGCAUCAACCUGUUGAGAGUAAGCAAUGGCUUCAUGAACAUCGAAUGGUUUCAGAAUCUUGACAUCAUGGCGAAUUUCUGGCUUUAAUCCACCAAUAAAACAACUUUUCAAGAGACCAGGGGUCAUUUCGAUGGUCCGAUUUGCUAACCGCCGGAAUUCCAUGAUAUAAUCCCCGUAGCAGCCUAAAUUGGCGAAGCUUCACCAAGUUUUCAGUGCAAUCCAGGAGAUCAGAUGAACCAAAUUCCCUGUAGAAAAUCUUUGUAAAAUCUUCCCAUUUAGGAUAAUUCCUGACACAGUUAACCCAUUGAAACCAUUGAAGCGUUUCACCUUCCAUAUGGAAGGAAGCCAUACGAACUUUCUUGUCGGCCGGAAUAUCAAAGUAAUCGAAGUAAUGCUCCGCCUUAUAAAUCCACCCCAGAGGAUCAUCCCCUUCCUGGAAGCGAGGAAAAUCAAGUUUAACCAAAGGAGAUCUUGGUUGAAACCUUAAAUCCUGACGGUUGAGAUGUUGGGUUCUUGAAUCAUCAUGCAAGUUGGGGUCAAAUUGAGUUGCCUCUGAUGAAUCGCCCAGACCCAAUACCCCUUUCUCCAAAAAUUCGCAAUGAAGUUUCUUGAUUCGGGCAUCCGAUGAACCUUGACACUCUUCCAUGGCGUCAAAUCUUUGCAGUAGUGUCACGAGAGUGCUGUUGAUCGCAACAAGCUGAUUCUGCGAUUCCAUAGCUUUCUUCGUCGACGUACGAGUCAUACGGCAGCAGAGAAGGGAUGGAGGAAAGCUCUGAUACCAACGAUAAACCCUCAAUCAACCUUAACUCAAGAAGCCAUGAGAGAACUUGAAGAGAGAGAAAAAGAGAGAAAAGGAAUUCAGUAUUAUUCAUAAUCGUUUUCUAUUUUCUUACAAACCUCACUAUAUAGUUUCUGUUCUCUAACUAUUCUUAUCCAAUUACAACUAUACCAAUAACCUCCUAACAACCUUAUUAUACUAAUACCACUCAAUUACUCAAUUGAUGCCGAUCACAACCCCACUUAGCUACUAGUAAAUCUCAUCAGAAUCGUAACAUUAACUCAAUCAACCUCAAUCAUCUUCUUGUAGGAUAUUUCAAGAAUAUAUAUAUAUAUAUAUAUAUAUAUAUAUAUAUAUAUAAUAUGUAUAUGUAUAUGCGUGCGUUGUGUAUUUGCAUAGAAUAGAGUUGGGUUCUUGCCCAACAAUCACAUCUCUUCAAUUUGAAUACUGCAUCUUUUGAUUGUUGCCAAAAAUGACACGACCUCAUGGUCAACAAGUGUAAUCCUUCUCCUAGCAAAUAUGACCUUUAGGUAAUUGGUGCUCUCCAUCAGGUAUAAUCGUUAAAAUGCCUUUUGGAUAAUGCUUUGUAUAUGUUCAAACAUACAUGACUUCUUGAACCAAUAUGAAUUCAAAAGUUAUGUACUUUCGAUUAACUUGAACAUGUGCAAUUCUCUCUAUAUAUUGAUAACGUUGGAAGAAGAAAAGAUUUAGAAAUUUGUUGUCUACACAAUUUCUUUACUCUCUUUUCUCUCUCCAUCACAUUCAUUCAAUUUCUUUCUAGUUAUUUCUAAGGGAAUACAAUUUGGUUUUGUUAAUCGAAUAUUUCAUACUUUGUUGUAUCUUGGAAGUGAUUUUCCAAGAACCUUUUAGCAAACUCAUUCGAGUAGGGGCAAAUAACACUUUAAGGAAACGAUUCAAGUCGUAUCUCAAAGUCAUCCUUCAGUUUAUUCUCUAUAUUUUUACAUUUAUUCUAACAAUCUUGUAGUGUUAUUUUUGUCAUGGAUAACAAGUCUGAUAACAUGGCUUUGAAGAUUAUCAAACAAGAUGUCUACAAGCUAGACAAAUUUGAUAGAUCAAAUUUCACCCAAUGGAAGGUGAUAGGAGCAUAUUUAUACGACUGAGUUAGCUUGUUCUCAUGCAUUUAUGUUGUUAUUUCUUAGUUAAUUAUGUAUUUUAAGCUAUUUUCGUGUGUUUGUAGGUCCAUAGGCCUUAUAAAGCAAUAAGAUGCAUUUUGGUGCAUUUUGGUGCAUUUUGGAGCAGUUUUAGGCUUGGAAUGAAUAGCACAUGCAUGGAGUAAGGUAGAUGGACGAAAUUGAAGACUAAAGAGGCUAGGAAUGUGUUAAAGAGAAAGAAGAAUUAAUGUAAAAAGGAUAAAGAGCUCAGCCACAAAGGGGUGUCACUCCACCAUUCACCUUUCCAUCAUUGUUGUGCACCACCAUUGCACUCCAUUUGGAUUCCUAUGACGUGCAUCAUCAUCCAUGUUCCCUCCAUUGACUCAUUUGUUGCAUCAUUCCACUUCCUUUCCUUUAUCUACCAUGUGCACAAUAUCUUUUCACCUCAUUGCACUCAUUGAUUCACCAUUUACUCACCUUUCCACCCAUGCCAUGCAUAAUCACCCUUGUCCCAUCCAUUAUUUCAGAUUUCAUGCAUCAUUACAUUGAAUCAUUGCACUCAAUUGCUACACCAUUUCUUGUUCCCUCCAUCAUUUCAGAUUUCAUGCAUCAUUACAUUGCAUCAUUUCACUCAAUUGCUACACCACUUCAUGUUCCCCUUCAUUGCCAUGCACUUCCUCUAUAAAAGGAAGUGUGUGUAACAUAAAUUUAGUUCAUACUUGGUUAGAUCAUUCACUCCCAUUUCAUCACAACCUUUAUCCAAACACAUCCAUUCAUCUUCAGAUCCAUUCCUUCAUACAAACAAACCUUCAAACACUCACCAACACCUUGUGCCGUAGCAAAGGAAGGGAAGGAAAGUGCUUAGAUGUGCUUGCUGUCCAACUUGGAUCGUUGGAGCGUUUAGGUGUUUUCUUUCUUUUGUUUCUAAUGUUUAAAUUCAUUUCCUUUCGUUUUGUUGUAAAUAUGAGUGGCAAAAUCCCUCUGGGCUAGGGGUGAUUUCAAAGCCAUGAUUAUGUGUGCAAUAUAAUUUGAUAAAUUCCAGUUAUGAACUCUUGAAUCGUGAAUGCAAUUGGCUUAACUAUUUGAUUGAUAACUUAUUUGUAUUUGUUAAUUAAUGGUCGACACUUAAUUAGCAUGCAUAAAUCCAUUGCUAGAAUAUAAGGAAGUUUCACAUAAUCGUUACAAACUUAUAUUCACAUGUAGUGAAGGUCGCUUAUAAACGAUCGCGUUAAGUUCAAUUCCUAGCAUAAGCGACAUGAUGUCAUAGUUGCAAGUGCUUUGUCAAUGCUUAUGGUUUUCAUUAAACGUAAUGAUCUUUGAUUGUCUCUAUUAUGAUGUCAUAUGGGAAACUUUUGAAGAAUGUUUUGGGUUGUAGAAUGAUGUCAUCAAAUCCAAUAAAACAAGGAAAAUCUGAGAGUUAACUAGUGAUGUCACGGUUAAUUUGGAGCAUUAUCGUUCAUAAUUUAAUGAAGUAGUAACUGGAAAUCAAGUUAUUUGCAUACAUGUCAUGUGUGGAGAAAAAGCCUCUAGCUAUCCCAUCCAUCAUCUUAUUUCUCAAAUUUGUUUUACAAUCUGUCUAGUUUUUUAUACUUGUUUGUUUGUUUCAACUUCGUCCAAAACUCAAUCCUCCUUUACUUUAGUGUGUCUAAUUAGUUAGAAUCUGUUUUAAUUUGUGUUUUUAAAUGUUUUGAUUCAAGUAAAAGUCAAUUUUCGUCCAAAGUCAUUCCUAGUGUCUAGUUUAAGUUUAUUUAGUUGUUUUAAGCUGUUUUGAGUAUUUUAAGUUUGCUUUGAAUCUUGUGAGUCUUGUUAAGUAUUUUUAAGUUUAGUUUUAUGUUUUUGAGUCAGUUUAGAGGUUAUUAGCAAGCCCUCCUAAUCCCCGAUCCAGAACGAUCCCUACUUAUACUUAUAUUACAGUUGUCAAAAGAGGGUUAAAUUUGUGUGUUAAGUUAAUUUUCGCAUCAGAAGGACAAGAUGUGUUUCAUGCUUACUGUUCUAAAUGUCAUAUAUGUGUUCAACUCGAAAUUAGAGCCUAUUCGUGAACCAAGUGACAAAGACACGGAAAAAUAGUUGUCGAUUGAAAGAAGCGUGAAGAAGAUGAAUUGGUAUGUAGAAGACACAUCUUGGGCACAUUAUCUGAUCGCUUAUAUGACAAGUACGCACACAUUCAAUCUCCAAAGGAAAUUUGGGAAGAACUUGAACACAAGUACACAACGGAGAAAAGAGGUACGAAUAAAUUUUUAAUGUUCAAAUAUUAUGAGUUCACUAUAUUUGAUAACAAACUCAUCCUACCAAGUUCAUGAAUUAUUGGUCUCGGUCUCAAAACUUUGUGAACUUAAAAUAGUUAUUCCGGAUUCUAUGAUAAUUGGGGCUGUUAUGGAAAAAUUACCCCUAACAUGGAAUAACUAUAGAAAGAAACUUCUACACAUGGUGGAAGAUAUUAGUUUGGAGGAUUUGCAAAAAGGUAUUCAAAUUCAAGAGGAAACUCGAAAUCGUGAUAGGAAUUUUGCAAAACAGGAUUCCUCUAGAAUUCACAUUUUUGGAGGAAACAAAUACAAAAACAACUUCAAAGUCAAAAUUGACAAAGGGAAGUUUAAGAAGACCAAAAAGAAUGCAAAUGGGGUCUACUACCAUUGUGGAAAGAAAGGUCAUUACAUUCGUGAUUGUAGACACAGAAAAGUGAGUGAGGAAUAUGCCAAUAAGACCAAUAACGCAAAUAUGGUGGAAAAUUCUGAAAUUGAUAACAUUGUUGCCAUGGUAUCAAUGAUGCAUAUUGCCAUGAUUACAGAACUAAAUAUGGCAACGGUAAUAAAAUCAUCUGAUUGGUGGCUCGAUUCAGGGGCUACUAUACAUGUGUGUAAUGACGAGUCACAAUUCAAAACAUGUGAAGCAUCAACGGACAAUCAAGAGGUUUUAAUGGGGAAUCAUAAUUCUACCAAAGUUCUAGGAAAAGGAACCAUUGAACUUCAAUUUACUUAUGGGAAGAAAUUGACAUUGCUUAAUGUACUACAUGUUCCAGAAAUUAGAAAGAAUCUUAUGUCUGCAAAUUUAUUGUGUAAGAAUGGUAUAAAGACUGUUCUAGAGUCCGACAAGUUAAUAAUGUCGAAAAUUGGGGUGUUUGUUGGGAAGGGGUAUUCUUGUGAUGGAAUGUUCAAACUAAGUAUUAAUAAUAAAGUGAAUUCUUUUGCUUAUAUUGUUGAAUCUUCCUCUCAUUCAUGGCAUUUACGUUUAGCGCAUGUAAAUUUUAGAUCUUUAAAAUACAUGCGCACAUUUAGUUUAAUUGUUUGCAAUGAUGAUUACAAUGAUAAAUGUGAAACAUGUAUUCGAGCGAAAAUGACUAAGAAACUUUUUUCCAACUACCGAAAGAAAUACAAAUUUAUUAGACUUAAUACAUUCUGACAUAUGUGAAUUUAAUGGUGUUUUAACAAGAGGUAAAAGGUAUUUUAUCACAUUUGUAGAUGAUUGUUCUAAGUUCACUUAUGUUUAUUUAUUGUCUAAUAAAGAUGAAGCUUUUGAGUGUUUUAAGCGCUGUAAGGCUGAAGUUGAAAACCAAAAGGGAAGGAAAAUUAAAUGCCUUCGCAGUGAUAGAGGUGGUGAAUAUUUUUCACAUGAAUUUGAUAUCUUGUGAAGAGCAUGGUGUUGUACAUCAAAGAACUACACCCUAUACACUACAACAAAAUGGUUUGGCAGAAAGAAAAAAUAGGAAACUCACUAAAAUGAUUAAUUCUAUGAUAAUUAAUGCUAAUACUCCUAAACAUUUACAGGGAGAAGCAUUGUUUACUGCAUGUCAUAUAUACAACAGAAUUACAUUUACGAAGACACAUGUGCCACCAUAUGAAAUUUGGAAAGGAAGAAAACCAAAUUUGUCAUAUUUGAGAGUAUAAGGUUGUGUAGCCUUUUACAAGGCACUGGACCCUACGAGAUCCAAGUUGAGUCCAAGAGGAAUUAAAAGCAUACUUGUAGGAUAUGCAGAAAAUUCAAAGGCAUGUAGGUUGCUUAAUUUAGACUCAAAUACAAUAGUUAAGUCUAGAGAUGUCAAAUUUAUAGAAAAUAAAUUUUAUAAUGACUUCUCAAUGUUUGGAAAAGAGAAUGAUCAAACACCUUUCUCUAAUCCGGCUACUAGUCAUUCUUAAGGUAAGAAAAGAAAACAGUUUGAAACUGUUAAUGAACCAAGGAAAAACCAAAGAGUAAGAAAAGAAAAUAUUCUAGACUUUGAUUUUAUUUCAUCUCAAUCUAUUGUAUUUCUGGUCGAAGGAAAUAGAAAAAAGGUUCUAAAAAAAAAAUCCAUAUUGUUGAAUGUUGAGGAUGAUCUUAAAAGUCUAAGCAAAUCAAUGACUUCAAGAGAUGUAGCAUUUUGGAAAGAGGCUAUAGAUGAUGAAUUUGAAUCAUUAACAUCUAAUCAAACAUGGGUUUUAGUAGACUUGCCCCAAGGAUCAAACGCAAUAGGUUGUAAGUGGGUGUUUAGAAGAAAAUACAAUACAGACAGGUCUAUUCAGAUAUUUAAAGCUAGGCUGGUUGCCAAGGGUUUUAAGCAGAAAAAGAGAAUAGACUAUUUCGAUACAUAUGCAUCAAUAGCUAGGCUCACAUCAAUUAGAAUAUUGUUUGCAUUGUCAUUUUUAUAUAAUUUGGAUGUUCAUCAAAUGGAUGUGAAAACAACAUUUUUAAAUGGUGAUUUGGAUGAAGAAGUCUACAUGGAACAACCAAAAAGGUUUGUUCUACCUGGAAAUGAAAAGAAAGUUUGUAAACUAGUAAAGUCGUUAGAUGGAUUGAAGCAAGCACCAAAAUAAUGACAUGAAAAGUUUGAUUUUGUCAUUUUAUCAUAUGAAUUUAGACAUAACAAUGAUGAUAAAUGCAUAUACUCUAAAUUCACAAAUGAUUAUGGUGUUGUUAUAUAUUUAUAUGUUGACAACUUGCUAAUUUUUGGUACAAAUAUGAAAGGUGUAUCUGAAACUAAAGAGUAUCUAAAUUCAAAAUUUAAGAUAAAUGACUUGAAUGAAGUAGAUACUAUCUUGGGAAUUAAAAGAACCAUAGUAGGGGUUAUGUUUUGUAUCAGUCACAUUAUAUAGAAAAAUUGCUUCUUAAGUUUAAGCAUCUACAAAUAAAAGAAGCAAAUACCCCUUACAACCUUAGUGAGACUUUGCUUAAUAAUUCUAGGAGGUCCAUUGCGCAGCUUAAGUAUGCUAAUGUAAUCGGAAGUUUAAUGUAUGCCAUGUAUUGUACUAGGUCAGAUAUCACAUUUGUAGUAAGCAAACUUUCUAGAUACACUAGUUAUCUAGGUACUUCCCAUUGGAAAGCAAUAAAUAGAAUUUUUGGUUAUCUUAAAAGAACUAUUAGCCUGAGUUUAACUUACUAUGAGUUUCCAACAUUACUUGAAGGAUAUUCAUAUGCAAGUUGGAUAACAAGUGCUAAUGAUAAUAAGUCUACAUCAGGGUAGAUUUUUACAAUUACCAGAUGAGCAAUUUCUUGGGCUUCGAAGAAGCAAACAUGUAUAGCACAUUCAACUAUGAAAUCUGAAUUUAUAGCAUUAGCGGCAGUAGGUAAAGAAGCGGGAUGGAUAACAAAUUUUUUAUUGGAAAUAGAGUUGUGGCCCUAGAGCAGACAAUAAGGUAUACAAUGGAAAGUCUAGAUAUAUUAGCUUGAGACAUGAAUAUGUCAAGCAAUUAAUAACAGAUGGAGUUAUUAUUAUUAUUAUUUAUGUUAAAUCAAGUAAUAACUUGGCAGAUUCAGUAAUGAAAGCACUAGUGGAAUGGGGCUAAAACCAUUUACUGAAAAUUAGCCACCGAUAAUGGUAACCCGACUUUGUCUAGAACAUCACUAGUUUAAAAGUUUAAUGGGUAAUAACAAGUUAUUGAUAAGUGGUUGUAAAGCAUUGAAAAUUAAUAUAUAGCUCAUUCCAAGAUGAUCAGUUUAAGACUGCUAUAUUUAGGAGGAUGAGUUUUAUCUCUUAAUGAGGUUAUUUGUAGUUAUGUCUAUAGUAGCAGGGACAUGGGAAGGAACCUCACCUAUAUGAACAUAAGAAGUGGUGCCGCUUUUACCAAGAGUUGGGUUUUCUCUUGUAAAUGUUCUUCAAACCAGCAUGAAACACAAUGCCAUAACAGUGCUUAAUUAGUUCAGAAAUUUCUUUGAGGAAAUAAGACAUAGUCAUGUGUGUAGUGAUUCCAGUUUUAACAUAAGAAUAGUUGGUUUAAACUUAUAUCACUAUUGCAUUCAUUAUUUACACUAAUUAAAUAUUUAAUUCGAAAGACACAUUUAUUGUAGGCAUGAUUAUAUUGGUAUGCUUGUGAUUAAUUAUAAAAAGAGAAUUAUUAUAAUACCAUUUACUCUUAACACUUCUCAGUGUUCCUGUUUCCUUCUCAAAUCUGUGGAGAAAGUACCUCAUGCAAAAUUGCUAACUUCGUAUUUGGUGUUCCAAAUUGGCCUCUUUUAGGCAUCCCAAAGAGCAAGUGAGAGGGGAAGAUUAUUCUAGGAUGUGCUUGAAGCCAAGAAAGCGUAUUAAAGAGAAGAUUUAAUGUUGUGGAUAAUAUGUUUUUGAUAAAAAUAAAAUAAAAAUAGGUGAAUAACAUGAAGUUUAUAUUUCACGGAUAAAAAUUAGUAUUAAAAAUGAAUGUAUAUAUUACGAGUUAGUAAGGGAUGUUUCUGAUUCGAGUUAAACAUACUUCUGCAAUCAACAAAACUAUAUUAUGCUCCAGUUUGUGCAAUGACCAUCACGAAUCUGAUUUUUGUUGGACUGAAACUUCCUUCAGACUUUCGGUGGUUGCUUUUACAGGCAAUGGUAAGUCUAUGAGCAUGUUUGGAGGAGCAAAGUACAUGUGCAGUGACAUCAUACAGAUAAUAAUACCCAAGAAAAGCUGCAACAACAGAACGGACGAGAACCAAAGUUUAUUAAUAACCUAAUCGUAGUUUCCAGAGAGAGUGAGAGGGCAGUGCAUGGAUGGAACAUACCUGCAGUGUGGGCUUAAAAGUGAAAAGGUAUACUGAUAGAACCAUUGUCAGCAGCAUUGCCAUUGAGGUGGAAUACACCUGAAAGAAGCAAAUAAAUGAACACUAGUAUAGUACAAUGUUGCAUCCAUCUAAACUUAAAAUAACACUUAUUAUAAGAGAACGACAGAAAUUAGGCCAAAGGUUCAUCUAAUUACCUUCACUAUGUUGUCAGCAUACUUCAUCAACCAUGAAACAAGCAGUCCGGUAGAUCCAAGAUUUAGCACGACCAACCAAGUUGUAAGACUGUAUCCAUUGAAAAGGCGUUGCCACCAAGGGCCAUUCUCAAAUUCACCCCUGAAGUCAUCGAAGCCAAGCCGUGCUACGUUGAAAAUCACACCAAACCUGUAAAAGGAUUGCCAUUGGACCAAUUUUUUUUCCCACUCUAAAUAAACAGUUAAUCAUGCUGUAAAUAAAACUCAUGCACAUAUCUCAAACAAAGUUUAUAUGCUAAUCACAAGACAAGACACUGUAAUGAGUUCGCCAAUGAUGCUAUAUCUUCUAUAUUGCGAUCCUAAAAAGUGCAGAAAGAGGCCUGACUUGUGUUGCCAUAUAUAAGAAAGUCCACAAAAAAGAUUCUUAUUGAACUAAAUGGAAAAUGCAUCGUUGAGCUUUCAUAUAGUAACAAUCAUGUAAUUGAAAUUAGUCACAGAAAGCAAGGCAUGGUGUGGAAAAAAGAUACCUACGUGUACAAUUGUACAUUCUGCCAGUACAAGCUAUCAUUGUUCUUCUUCAUGAGAAACUCUGUAUAAACACCUGCUAAUGCUGACAUACAAGCAGAUAGGAUGCCAAGCAUAUAUCCUUGGAUUGGUGCUGAGAACAAAGAAUCACAUGACACUUCUCCACAACCUUUAACCUACAAGAUUAAUUAAAAGUAAACCAACAAAUAAGUAGCCGGUCGUUCUAAUGCACAAAUUUCCUCAACAACUUUAGAGCUUAUUAAAACUGCAUCAUUCAAGAAAUUCCUGAAUCACAGAUUUUUUUAUCAGACAAUAGUAAACAAGAACUUAUGUUAAGCAUACACGCUUCCCAAUUAAUCUUAGGAGGUCGGAGAAAAAGAUCAUAUUUCUGGAUUCUACCAAGAACAUAAUAGAAAGGUAAGAUGAUAAUAGACAACAACAUAAUCAAACAGCAGGUAACAUCUAUCUUUGAAACAGUUCUGAAAACGAAUAUUCGACAAAAGAAAACCCAAUGCGAUAACCAAAAAAAGAACAGCUUCUAUUAUCACCUGGCUCGUGGUUGUUCCAACAGCUAACAAAACAAUUGCUAUCCAUUGCAGAUUAGACAACUUCUUUCUCAGGAAUAGCCUGAAGUAUCAUUCGAUAAAGAUAGAUCAAUCAAUUAAUAAAGGAGAUAUAACUGGACCAAGUAAAAUUCCAACGAGAAAUUGAAAAAAAAAAAAAAAACAAAAACAAAAAGGAAAACAAUUUAGAUUAUGUCACCAGGAAAUCUAAUAAAGUAGGCACCUGAACAAUAUUCCAGUAGUAACAAUCUUCAGAUUACCCAAUAUCUGAUAUGUGGAAGUAUCCACAUAAACAAGAGUGGCAAACUGAACAUUGUUAUGAAUUAGAUAUAUGACUGAAGGAAUAGGAUAUAAGCGCACACUCCUCCAAUCUGUAGUCAUUCGUAUGGAAGGUGAUAUGCGACACUCUCUCCAAAGAAGAAAACUGGAAACUAUUAGCUGUAAUUUAAAGAACCGCAAUGAAACAUAUCAGUACAACUAGAAAAGGCAUCACAUAUUUGAGGAAAGUAAAUGAGCCAUUGUGUAGUGAAAAACUGUCUCUAAUUUGGUGGCUUAAAGAGGAAAUCACUGUGACUUUACAAGCUAAAUGAUGCACUGAGGUAAAGAUAGGUAUAGAGAAGUACCUUGAAUACUUCAGCAAGAAACGGAACAGUUGCAUAGUCAUACUCAUAUUUGCCAUUGCUUUGAGAGAGCGUUGUUAAGAUUCCCUGACAUUAAUAAACGAAUGUUUGGAACUAAAUUUCUAAACCAAUACUGUCAACCUCUGCCAACACAACAUAUAAAAAAAAAAAACUUGAGCCCAAAGUUCUCUCACUCCAUAUAUUCCAGAAUAUGAAAAGUUAAGAACAAUAUUCUGUUGGAAAAUGUCUAUAAAAGUUUAUCUAGACAGCGCUGCCGCUGAUUGCUAUAAUACCAAAAAAGGCAAUGAAACUUCCAGAAAAUAACUGCAUAUAAGUAUCCACUCAGCAUGGGAAGUCCCAAAAUUGAUUUCCAUGUGUCAAAAACUGAGGAAACCGUUUUCUUUAGCAACACUCAACAACUCUGUCUCAUAAUCACGUCUUAUAACUGGAGCGUCUGUAAGUCUUUAUUUCACAUGUCAAACCUCCUUAACCGAUUUUCUCUCAUCUCAUCUUCAAUUCUGACUACUCCUACUUUACUUGUCCUUUCUCGUGUGGCCACACAUCCAACGAAGCAUUCUCAUGUCGGCUACACUCAUUUUGUCUACGUGUUGAUGCUUGACCGCCCAACAUUUAGUGCCAUAAAGUAUUGCUAGCCUUAUUGCCGUCUAUAAAUUUUUCCUUUGAGCUUAGUGGCAUAUGAUGGUCACACAACAUAUCCGACGCACUCUUCCACUUCAUCCAUCUAGCUUGUAUUCUAGAGUUGAGGUCUCCAUCUAAUUCUCCGUUCUUUUGCAAGAUAGAUCCAAGAUAGUGAAAGCGUUUGCACUUUGGUACUUCCUGAUCUCCAAUCUUCACCCCUAUCUCAUUUGGACCUCCAUUCUCACUGGACUUGCAAUCCAUAUACUCUGUCAUUGACAUGGCGAAGACCUUUAGAUUCCAACACUUCCCGCCAAAGGUUAAACUUCGCGUUUAUCCCUCUGACUCAUGAGCUUCAUCUAUCAACGUUAUAUCGUCCGCGAAAAGCAUACACCAAGGAAUAUCAUCUUGAAUGUCCCGUUAACUCAUCCAUUACCAAUGUAAAAAAGAUAAGGAAUUAAAGAUGAGCCUUGAUAUGACCCUAUAGUUAUGAGAAAGCUUUCGGUUUGUCCUUCAUGAGUUCUUACAGCAAUCCUUGCUCCAUCAUACAUUCCCUUUAUAGAUUGGAUAUAUGCUACUCGUACUACUUUCUUCUCUAAAAUCCUCCAAACAAUCUCUCUUGGGAACCUAUCAUACGAUUUUUCCAAAUCUAUAAAGACCAUGUGCAAAUCUUUUUUCAUAUCUCUAUAUCAUUCCAUCGAUCUUCGUAAGAGGUAGAUUGCCUCCAUGGUCAAGCGCCCUGGCAUGAAUCCAAAUUGAUCGACUGAGACCCGUGUCUCCUGCCUCAGUCUAUGCUCAAUCCAUGCUAAAAUAAAAUACCAACUUGACUGUUGUCGAAAGAUCCGUAAUGAAAAAUGAUUAUUUCCUCAAGUUGUAAGUUGUAACUAACUAAUUCAAAUUUGUAAAGAACAAACAAAUAAUUAUGUAUACCAGGAAAUUUCACUCUUGCAAAUAAAUGUUAGUUUGUACUCCAAUGUGGUUCAUAGGAUUCUUCCGGGUCAAGAACAGCAAAUUGAUCCAAAACCAGCACUUACAUAAAAAAUCCUUUACGACAUUUGCUAAAACAUACAAAUUAUGAAUUGUUGAAGUUCCAUUUGACCCCUUACCGUGAGUGCUACAAAACUACACGCGAGUUCAUCCAUCCUAAGAUCUCAAGAAACAACUCAUAUCUUGUACAAGUUUCAAGCAUUCUCACUUGAAUUACUCAAUGCUCAAAAACUUGGAAUUGGAAAAAAAACACAAAACUGAUUUCCUUUCAUAUCCAUUUUGUUCUUUAAACAGCUCGAGAAAUGUAGCGCCCUCAGUUGUACUUUUCAGUCAACAUAAGAAGGCCAAACUACGCAAUAAUAACAAUUUAAAGCCCAAUUUCAAAACAAAAAUAAAAAAAUAAAAAAUCAGUUGGAAACCGGAAUCAAUUCGCCAUUGUCACUUAUAAAUACACAUUUCAAGUAUUGGGCAAGACAUAAUUACACAAACAGAAAGCUGCAUAAAAAAAUUUAAAAAAAAACUCAAAAAUAAUUAUUUCGGGGAGAAUUAAAUUACAGCUACACUGAAUCGAUUUGGGAUGAAUUGGAACAAAAAUUUCUCAAAUUUCGAAACUGGGUCCGAAAACCAAACAUUGCAGAACUCAGAUUCAGAGGAUUAAGAGCGAGCAGAGAUCCAGAAAACAGUGAAACGCAAAGGGUAGUAACAAAACGGGCCAGAAAUCGUAGAGUCUGAAGGUUUACUGACCUGAGAGCUGGUGAGCACGGUGAGCAGCGCGGCAACGAAAUACCACUGCAUCGUCUUCUUCCAAACGACCAGCGGUUGCUCGCGUAAAGUUUGGGGCUUUGCUAAGAAAAUGUAAGCGCUGAUUCGGGCAUUGGACUUUCCGGUAACCUGUGUACGGCGAUGAUAAAAUCAGCGUCGAUUUGGGUGCGAAACUUGUCGGCUGAGAGAUUGGCAGUCUGGCGGCAUUGAUGAUUAAAUCCACUCCAACCUAGAACUGGCAAUCUUGUCGCCUUUACUGUGUUUUUGUUGAUUUCAUGACAUAUGUCAUAUCUUAAAUGAAAAUAUUACAAUGAAAAUAAUUGGCAAGAUCCGAUCCGAACUUCAUCCAUUAAUUUAACUCGACUCAUUAUCUAUUAAAAAUAUAUAUUUUAAUAAAUAAUUAAAUAAAAAAUAUGAUACUAAAUUAAAAUUUACAACGAUAGAAAGAGAUUUUAGAUUUGAAUGUUGCUCAGUAUGUGACUUCGUCGAAUUCUUCCUGUUCUUAUGUUCUUAGUAUAAAAAUAAUAUCGAUGUACUUAACAAAAAAAUAUACAACGAUAGUGUUAUUCACACACAUUUUUUACAGAUCAUGAUCGUCUCCGAAUCUGUUCUCCGGAGAUCCGGAGGACCACAUCAUCCUCGCCGUUUGUUCAAAAUCGUGCGGCCAAGAUUAAAUUUACUUUUUAAAACUCAUUUGAAGCAAAACCAGGGUCGAUGCACCUCUGUUUUCCUCCUCUUUCCUUUUAUCUCAGAUCCCAGCAAUCGACAAAGCACGAACUUGAGUUCUUUCAUGUCAAAAUUUCACUGAUUAAUUACUGAAUCAACACUAAGCUUAUGGGCAGGGCGGAUCCUUUCUAUUUGUUUGGUCGAAUUUCCGAGCUCGAGAAGAGGAGAUGCAAGUGUUUUCAGCCAUGGAGUGGAUCACCUGAGGAACCACUUCAGCGGCCGGAACACGGUGGUGUUGCUUGCGACUGAGUGGCCAUUCCUUUUGAGAGAGAGCACCAGGAAAGGAGCAGGCUUGAAGCGGCAAGGAAAAUAGAGAGGGAGACUAGUCUUUUGUCUUAAGAUCAAAAUCAAUGGCCAGGGUGAAUUGGUCCGCCGGAUCCGCAGUGAAUGAUCCGGAGAUGAUCUGGAUUUUCUUUUUAUCUUUCACACACUCUUGUUAAGUUUUUUUAUAGAAAUAACAAAACAAAAAUGAAUAGUAAUAUAAAAUGCUGAAGUGGCUUAAUCGUGAUCACACAAACAGUAGGUAGACAAUCUUUGUCCAUUUACAAAUCAUGUUGUCAAUAAAUUAGCAUCUACAUAUCCUAAACACUAAACCAUAAAAAUCCAAAUGACGAUACAACCAUUGUCAAUGCGUAAAGGAUGCGAUGACGGCUAUUGGCAUACUUUUUUCACAUUUUUUUCGCACUUAUAAAUUAAUUAUUAUGAAGUAUUACAUAUUUUCAACUCCACCUAAAAAUAUUGUUCACGAGAGUUUGGAGGAUUUUAAAAAUGCAAACGACGAUGUACCUAUCGUUAAAGCAUAGAGGAUGAUCGCAAACGUUUAUUGUAUCAAAUUUUCACACACGUAAAUUAUUAUUAUAAUUUACUUUGGUAUUUUGUAGGAAAAAUUAAAUUACAUUAUAAAAUAAAAAUAAUCCAUAACAAUUAACGUACUAGUGUGAAAAAUGUGGGAAACAAAUGUGCAACACUUGUGUUUGCAUCCUUUGCACUUGAAUGAUGGUUACAUCAUCGUUUGGACAAGUCCUUCAAACCCUCAUGAAUAGUAUUAUUUGUUUGAGUGCAAAACUAAUAAACAUUCAUAAUAAUAUUGUACAAGUGUGAAAAAAGUUAUUAAAAAAAAUACAAAAACUCGUUUGGACUUUUAUGAAGAGGUCAACUUCAAGAUUUGACAUCAUAAUUCAUAAUCCUUAUAUUUAUAUUUAAUCGUUGAUGUCGUUUACGUUUAUGGUUCAUUUUUCUGAUUAGUUUUCCUUUUUCAAAUUUUCUUUUUUUAAAACAUGAUCUUUUAACGAUUGCAAAAAGAUGAACGGUUUAGAUCGUUGAUAUCACUUUUAAAUUUUUACAGUUAGUGAAAAUGUUGCUAAGAUUUUAUAGUCAACAAUCCAAACCGUUUAUCUCUGCAUCCGCUAAAAAAAUCAUGUUUAAAAAAAAAAUUGUGAAAACAAAAUUUGGUGAGAAAAAUGGAGCGUAAAUGUAAACGAUAAUCGAGUUGACCCCUUGGCAAAAGUUGUUGAGCUUAUCAUUACGAGCAUUUGUAUAUUUUUGUUUACAUUUUUCACACUUAUACAUCAAUCAUUAUGAAUUUUUAUUAAUUUUGCACUAGAUGAUUCCUUACUGGAUUAGGUUUUCGUGUCUUGUGGAAUAAGCAUGGUUUUUCCUUAAAGUGAACGGUACCGAGAGUUUUUCGUUAAAAUUCCCUUUAAAAAAAUCUUUAAAUGAUGAUAAAUAGAAAUAAAUAAGAAUACUGCUAAACUCACCUCAUUGUCUUAUUUCUCCACCGACAUUUUAAUGAAAAUGUUAAUUACUUAUUGAAACCUCCACCAAAAUUUGACAAAUCUAAUUAUUAAUAUUAUUUUUAUGCUUUCUUUAAAAAAAAAUUUAUAUAGUUUUAUUUUUUUAGACUCUUCGUUUUCUUUUUUUUUUUCAAGUAAAGGUCUUGAGAGUAUCAUCAUGUUAUUCUAAAAAAGAAAAAGAGGGAGGGAGGAGUUCAAGAUUUAAAAAGAAAUUAUAUAUGGUGGUAGAGUUCGAUGGAAAAAUGAAUAAUGUUUCCUUUUAUAUCAUAAGUUUGAAUACAACAUUUUCUGUUAAAUAAAGAAGUUUUAUACUCGAUUAAUCCAUAGAUUUAGGUGUAAGUCCACAUGACAUUCCUUGAGUGGAAAAGUAAAGAAGGUAAGUAGGAAAAUAGCUAUCAUUUUUGAAAAUAUAAAAAUACAUUUUGAAGGUGUCAUGAUGAGUCAAAUAUUAUAGCAAAUUAAGGUAAGUAGGGCCCAUGAAUAAAGGAAAUAGAUGACAAAAAACAAAUAUAGCAUUCACUAUUUAACAAAGGCGAAACAAACCAUCAAAUAAUUUCAAUACUUGAGAAUAAACACAUAUAUUCAUAUAUAUAUAUAUAUAUAUAUAUAUAUAUAUAUAUAUAUAUAUACAAUUAUAUCAUUCGGGGUGAAUAUAGAAAUAGAUACGAAUCGGAAACUAAUGUAGUCGUAUUCAAAAUUGUAAUAAAAUAACAUUCUUAAUUUUUUUCAUAUUAAAAAAUACCUAAAUUUUAAUCUUCAAAUUCGUCGCAUUCGGAUGAUUAUCGACGUCAUAAAUUUAACGGGUUAGAUUGCUAUCUCUAUAUAUUAGAUCAAGUUAAUGCCUUGUCCUUUAGUUGUACCAACCGGUGGACUUGGUGUUAUUUGUUUUGUCUUUUGAUUGGACCGUGAUUUAGGGCAUGAUGCACCCACAGGAUUUUCGCGGAAACAUCCGAACAUUCUUUCCCUCUUCAUUUGGUCUUCUUCGCUACUCUCUCUCUCUCCCUCUCCCCCUCCCUCUCCCUCUCUCAGGUCCUAAAACCACCAUUACCAACGGCAACCCCGGCACUACAACCACCUUCCUGAAAACCCCCAAUUCCCCAAAUCCAAAACCCUAAAAUCGAGUAUAAGCAUCCCCCCACCCUCAUCAAUUCUCUGCAAUUUCAGACGAAUCCGUUCUCCCUUUUCAAGUUCGGAGCUCAAAUUUAAGGUAAUAUCACUAUACGAGGUCAACUUUCAGUUUUAGGUGUUAGGGUUUUUGUUUAAUUUCAAUAUCAGUGAGGGGUUUUGUGGAGGGGUGUCAAUUCAGUUGGGGGUUCAAUUGCAAUUUCAUUUUCAGGUGCCAGUUAGGGUUUUGAAGGGUUUCAGUUUAAAUUUUGGCUUCAAUUUUAUUAGUGUAAUUGUACAGCAACAACAACAACAACAACAACGAAGCCUUUUCCCACUAAGUGUGGUUUAUUAGUGUAAUUGUAAUCCCUCUAAAUUUGUGUAACGUAGGUAGGGGUUCUUUUGUUGGAGAAGGAGUUGACCAUUGAAUUGGGGGCUUUUGCUGCACCUGCAGGUUAAAAUCUCAACCUUUUGCCUUCUGUGAAUGUAUUGGUUGCUUGCUGUGAAUGUUCUGGUUGCUUGCUGUUAAUGUGAAAUGGUGAAUUGAACUUUGAAUGUAAUUUAUUAGAUUUGCACACUAACAGGAUUACUUUACUCACAAAUUUAUUAAUAUAUGCAGUGGAAAAGGUCAUGAAAACAUUUAAAACAAACUCAAGGUAUAUUGUAUUCCGUUUCAAAAUUUAGACUUGGAGUAAUAGAAAAAUCUUGCAUGAGGUGGACAUGGUUGAGAGAAGGGGAGAGAAGGAAAACAUAAAGAAACUAAGGGGCAAUUACGGUUUGAAUUGUACUUCUAUUGAGUCAUCAUUUGACGACAAAGAAAUCUCCCUCCAAUGUUAUAGGUGGUUGGCUUUCAUCUCUGUGUAUUCAUUUUGAGAGUUCUUAGCAAAUGAAGAGAUGUCAGAGGGGCUUACCAGAGACAGCUUAGAACCAUUAGGCUUUUUCCUUAUAUACUGAACCAGUGUUCUACUAUGGUCAGUAACUUGAAUUUCAUAAAAAUUAGUUUGUCUUUCAAUAAUUUGAGUUAAGAUCACAAUUAAAAUUUUGCUGGAAUGAUAGACAUAACAGUCCUUUCCCAAUGGUUUUGAGGAGGACAAUUUUUGUCUCCUACAACCUUUGUUAAACAAUCUAUGAAAGUUGAAACAAUAGGAAGGACUCGGUCGUUGCCUUCUACAAAUAAAACCAAAAAAUACAAAGUUAGUUUAGCAUUCAAUGUCAAACCUAGAUUAACCAUAUUGGACCCAACACAAAAUAAACGCAAUGAAACAUGGGCAUCACAGAUUUCAAACUGAAAUUGGGACAAAUGUUGAUGGAGCACCACUAACUAAUCAAAGUUGUUCCAGUACUUGAGUGUUGAGUGACUUCUUAUGAGUCCUGCAAGUUCCUAUAUUUCAACACCAAUCAGAAGAGGGAAGGGGGAUUUUGGUUGAAUUUUUUAAAAACCCACAUGUUCCCUUGGUCAAUUAACUACCCUAAAACAGUAGAAUUUCAUUUAUAAAUGGAAAUCAAGUUUUAAUUCCCUUUACACGUACAAAUCCAUAUUUUUUUUUUUCCGUCUCAAGUAGUUAAGUCCCUUUUCACAUGCGAAUCCAUCUCUUUUCAUUUCAAGCAGUUAUUCUUUUGUGUCAUUCACAAACUGUAUCAGCAUAUACCUUUUUCUACUCCAGUAUUUUAUCUGCACUUUCCCAUUACCCCAUCGCAUUUUAAAUUUGCUAUACUCUCCUUCAUAACCUUUGGGUUAUUUAUUGUAGUUUUUGAAUUCCAAUUCUUGAUGUUGGUCUUAGGACUUCUAACCUUUCUGUUGAUAAGGGUUCGGUUUUUGAAUUUCAGAUUGGAUAUUAGAUAUUGUUUUAAGUUCAUUUUGGAGGGAUUUACUUGACCUUCGGUUUUUAGCAUGCAGGUUGCCAAAACUGAAUUGAAUUGUUCUUCCAUUUAUAGCAUGCAACACUGAAUAAUAUUUAGCCAAAUACGUAUAUUUUCUCUGGCCUAGUUGAGGUUGAGAUUCAGGCAGCUGGGAAGUGGUGUUUAAGCUUCAAUUUCAAGUUUUGGCUACAGUUUCAAAGUUUAUCAGAAUGGUUUAACUUUGUGAGACACUGUCAAAGUUAAAUUGGUAGCUGGUGUGAGUUUGUUGGAGUUUUGUUCAAGAUGGAUAACUCUGCAAACAUGCAUAAUGAUCAUUUGGGUGUGAACAAAAUGGGGAAAAAUAUAAGGAAGAGUCCUUUGCACCAACCCAAAUUUGGUAAUAAUGACGCCAGGCAACAACCUCAACCUCAGGUGUACAAUAUAAGCAAGAAUGACUUCCGGAACAUUGUUCAGAAGCUUACUGGUUCGCCAUCGCAAGAACCUUUGCCUAGACCUCCCCAGAAUCCGCCAAAGCCCCAAAGUAUGCGAUUGCAGAGAAUUCGACCUCCCCCAUUAGCACCUAUCAACAACAGACCCUUAAACACACCUCCAGCUCCUCUUCCUGCAGGCCCACCACAGGUUCCCUACAAUAAUAACUUUGUUAGGCCUCCUCAGUUUGGACAUCCAUCACCUACACCAAUGCCACCAUUUCCACAUGGAGAUUCAAUGUGGCAAAAUACAGCUGAAUCUCCUAUCUCAGCAUAUAUGCGGUACCUUCAGAGUUCAAUGUUAGAUCCAACUCCAAGGGGCAACCAACCUCAGCCUCAACCACAAGUUCCAGGUCAAAUGCAGUCUCAGCCACCAUCAACCAGUUUACUUCCUAACCCAUCCGUAUCUGCUCACCCACCCCCGAGAAUGAAUGCCCCUGGGGCACAUGCGCCUAAUCUACAGCACCCACAGAUGAAUGGUCCUCCCCUCUUACCGUCACCAACUUCACAGUUUUUAUUGCCAUCCCCAACGGGUUACAUGAACUUGUUGUCUCCACGGUCACCUUAUCCAUUGCUUUCACCUGGGAUGCAGUUUCCUCCACCAUGGACCCCCAAUUUUCAGUUCUCUCCAAUGGGCCAAUCAGGGCUGUUAGGUCCAGGGCCUCAACCCCCACCUUCUCCUGGCGUUUUGUUUCCAUUAUCUCCUUCAGGGUUUUUCCCCAUUUCAAGUCCAAGAUGGAGGGAUCAUCACUAGUUGGCACAACAUUGUUAAGCAUGUGAGUCCAUACAUUCCCUUGUGCUAUUUCUUUAUGUGGACUCGUCGUCUACUUGUAGGAGCUUCUUUUGUGAAAAAUAUAUUGUAUACUGGUAGCGUAAGUGGCUUUUUGGGCUACCCGUAAUGUUCGCUUCUCUUUUCUUUAUUUUUCUUUUGUUGACACCUUCUCUGCAGCUUUUUUGAAUCUUGAAUCUGUAUCAGCUCAUAUCUUUUCUUCUAAUUUUGUAAUGUUUUGAUUAAAUUGUAGUUUGUUGUCAAUUUUCUUCUUCAGUUAACUGGCAAAUGGAGGGAAUUUCGCAUUAGCAAUUAUAGAUUCGUUGUACCUUGUUACGUUCAAUCAUGAAAUCAUUGCUGUGUUGAUCUUAGGUUAAUGAAUUGCAGAAUUGAUUCUCUUUACGAAAAUAUAUAAUGUAAUAUUUUUGUGAAACACGAAUGUUGUUCACGCGUUAUUGUGUUUACUAGCUUUGUCUUGAAUGUUCUUCACUUUGUUCAAGUAUUUUACUACUUGUGUAAACUCUAGGGGAUUAAAAAAGGUGCAGGGUUGUGUAUAUAUUUGUUGAAACAUUCGAUGACCUACUUAGUUACCGUAGAACAACGAACAUGGAUGUUUUAUAGCUUGAGGAGAAGUAAUCCUUACAUUUGAGACUCAACUUACACGAAAAUAUCGGUAGUCCAAAAACACGGAAAUUUCGAUGGAAAUAUCGGGAUAUUAUGGAUAUUUUAGACCAUGAUUAGAAUCGAUAUGCACUAACAGCUGGAAAGCAUGGACUUGAUGGAACAAAGUGUUGGACAGGUCCUAGUCAUUACCCUAAACUCCUCAUCAUCUUUCCAGCAGACCCUCCGCCACUAAUCUCGCAUAUUAGUCCCGCUCCAUCGUCACAAAUCUAAUUGACGCAGAACCAAUCGACUACCGCCACCGUAGGCGUAGAUCCGUUCCACCAACGCCACGCCGACACCGCUAAUACGUUCCACCAUCGUCACAAAAUCUAAAGCAUACAAGUAAUCAUAUUACUAGUGUUUUUGUGAGUUUUGCUCAAUUUUUAGAUUAAAUAGCCAAAAUUCCUCUUUCAACCAGUCUCGUACAACUCAUUGUUCAAACUCGAAGGCCUAAAUAACACCUUUGAGUCUUUGGCUGGGCGGUCGUACCCAUCUCCCGCUAAAACAAGCGAGUACAUGCUUGCACAACAUUCUUUUUUUUACGUAAAAUUUUGACGGAGAAUAAUAAAACCUUGUUUUUCAUCUCUUCAAGGAACGCGAAAACACGGGUCCCACAGAAAACAACACACCCGACCCAACCCAAACCCCUCAAAACGGACCUGUUCUUGUUCUUACUCUUGGGUCAUCACUCAUCAGGUGUUCCAAUUCCUUUUUCCAAAUAUUAAUAAAAAAAUCGUUACACAAAGUUGACAAACUGCCGCCCCCGAAAACCCGUUAUCUGGUUCGGUUUUGUCUAAUGACCACCAAACCGCCUGAUCAGGAGGCGGUUCGCAUGGAUGCUUGUCCGACCACGACUUCCUUCUUCCUUGGAGGGACAACGUUGAAUCUUUUAGUUUGAUUCCGACCAGACACCAGACAAUACCAGAAACUGAAACGGUCUGUAAUUUUUGUCUUCUUUUUGUCUGGUUUUUUUUUAUCCUUUCCUUUUUCUUUUCAGUUUCCUUAAUCUUUUUAUUUGAUUCCGGUUGAUGUUGGGUUGAUCAGAUUCUUGGGUCAGGGACAGAAUUCGACGUGUAUUGGUGUUUUUCCUGGAAUUCCAGCCAGCUCAGUUUGAAUUUUGACUCGAGGUAGGCCUUUUUUGAUUAAUUUCAUGAAAACCCUUUUAUUAUUUUCAAUUUUCUUAAUCUAUUUUCCUAAUCUCAAAUAAAAUGGAACAAUUUUGGGUUUGAGAUUUUUUUUUUUGUCAAACUAUAGAUUUUGUUAGAUUAGAUGUUGCAUUAGUUACCGACAGAAUUCAAACCACGUCAUCAUGCAAUGAUUCAACUUCUUUCCACCACUAUGGUAAAUGUCCACUUGCGAGGGUUUGGGAUAUUGGGUUUUGAUGCAUGCAUGGUUAUAAAGUUGUAAUCUUGAUGAUCAAAUGUCAUUAAAACCCUUGUUUUCGUUUCGUGUUUUUUUUUUGGUACUGGCAGAGGAUCUUGAGAUUUUGAUUGGCUUUUGUUUGAUUAAUUUCUGUCGGGAUUGCUGUAUCAGGAAAUUUUUCGCCGUCUGAGCCGGAAUGGAACAAUUCCGGCAUAUUGGGGAGGUUUUGGGAAGUAUGAAGGCUCUGAUGAUGUUAACAGAUGAGAUUCUGAUCAAUCAAUGCCAGUGCUGUUUGUUGCAUGAUGUGUUCACGUUGGCGUUUGACACGAUCGGAGAGGAGAUCCGACUGAACUUGAAACUCGAAGAGAAGAAGACAAAAUGGAAAGCGCUCGAGCAGCCUCUGAGGGAGCUGCACAGAGUUUUCAAGGAAGGGGAGCUGUACAUUCGGCAUUGCAUGGAUGCAAAAAACUGGUGGGGGAAAACAAUCCUCCUCCAUCAGAACAAGGACUGCGUCGAAUUUCACAUUCAUAACUUGUUCUGCUACCAUGCGGCCGUGAUUGAGGCGAUUGAGAAUGCUGGAGAGAUUGCGGGGCUCGAUCAGGAGGAGAUGCAGAAGAAGAGGAUUCUGCUCGCAAGGAAGUAUGAUAGAGAGUGGAAUGACCCCAAACUUUUCCAAUGGAGAUUUGGGAAGCAGUAUUUGGUCCCGAAGGCGAUCUGCAACAGGUUGGAGAGUGCUUGGAGGGAAGAUAGAUGGCGGCUUGUCGAAACUCUGAAGGUGAAAAAGAUUUCAGGAUCCUUUGGUUUGACGAGGAAUGAGCAGCAACUUGGAGACUUGCUGCUCAAGAAACUUGGUGGGUCGGAAACCUUAAAUGGGAAGCUCUUUCCGAGCUCAAUCUUACUGGAAUCCGACUAUUACAGCGUUAGGCGGUGGUUAGGAGGAGGAACGCAGUACAAGGAGAUCCAGUGGUUGGGGCAGAACUUUGCCAUGAGACACUUCUUUGGGGAUAUUGAGCCGUUGAAUUCUGAGAUUUCAACUCUCCUCGCACUUUCCCACCCCAAUGUGCUGCAGUACCUUUCGGGGUUUUAUGACGAGGAGAAGAAGGAAUGCUUUCUUGUUAUGGAGUUGAUGAUCAAGGAUCUGCGCUGCUACAUGAAGGAAAACUGCGGCGCGAGAAGGCAGGUUUUGUUUUCAAUCCCGGUAGUGGUUGAUAUCAUGCUUCAGAUUGCAAGAGGCAUGGAAUAUCUGCACUCUAGGAAGAUCUACCAUGGGGAGUUGAACCCCUUGAAUGUCUUUCUCAAGGCAAGGAGCUGCACAGAAGGCUAUUUCCAAGUAAAAGUCUCGGGUUUCAGUUUAUCAUCCGUGCGCAAACCUACUUACAGAAAAUCACAGCAGAAGAAUGAAAUCAACCCUUUGAUUUGGUGUGCCCCGGAAGUCCUAGCUGAGCAAGAGCAACCAGGAAACAAAGGUCGUACCAAAUACACGGAGAAAGCGGAUGUAUACAGCUUCGCAAUGCUUUGCUUUGAGAUCUUGACCGGGAAGGUUCCCUUCGAAGAUUCACAUCUCCAAGGGGACAAGAUGAGCAACACUAUAAGAGCAGGAUGGAGGCCUCUCUUCCCAUACCCUUCACCAAAAUACCUCGUCAAUUUAACCAAGAGAUGCUGGCACAGUGACCCGUCUCAGCGCCUGAGCUUCUCGUCCAUCUGUCGCAUUUUGCGCUACAUAAAGAAGUUCCUUACUCUGAACCCCUAUGACGAUCAGCCUUUACUGCAAUCCCCUCAUAUGGAUUACUGCGAGAUAGAGUCAUGGUUCCUGAAGAAUAGUUCAGCUGCCGAAUACGUUGAUUUAUCCUCAAUAUCGCAACUUCCAUUCCAAAUGUUCUCUUACCGGCUAGGGGAGAAGGAAAAGACUAGCCCGGACAUCGUGAGGGUUAGGAGUCUGGAUUCCUUAAGUGAUACAGCAUCAGCGAUUUGCAAGCAAGAAUCUCCGAACGGCAAAGUUGACAUUGUGUCCAUUGCAGAAGAUCCAUUCGUACCACUAAGCGACUCGAGGUCCGUUUGCUCUGAUGUGAGGUCUGUUUAUGAUCUGAGGUCAGUUUGUUCCGAGGCUCCGAUGAAGAGAACUCUCACUGCCAAGAAACAUCAAGACGCGACAGCUAGAAAAGCCUCAGGUCAGCCACUAAUUUCACCUUAAUCCAUUUCUGUACGAUCAGCUGAUUACAUUUUUAAGCUCAGGGGCUUCUGUACUUUCUCCGUUAACAAUCUUGACUGGGAAAAUGUUGAUCAGGUUACACCAGGACAUCAAAAACACCAACCACACCAAGGACGUCAACACCAAGACUUGCGUCGCCAAGAUUUCCACCGCCAAAACUUGCUUCACCGAAACUUCUGCCUGCAAAACCAUGUCAACACAGUAUGAAGACAAACCAAAGCCCUCCACUGCCGAGUCCUACGAGCACAAAGAGUAGUGCGAGCCGAAGCAGGCACAGAAUGAGGGGGCACGUUUCGGACUCGGAGAUACAUUAGGCUUUCUUUUGUUUCACAUCAUAUAUAUACAUAUAGUCAAGUACAGAUCAGUUUUUGUUCCCUUCCAUUUAACUAGAAAUCUCUGUAAAUUUAAUCUUCUUACUGUUAUAGGUCCAUUAGGCUUGAACAUCUUAUAGUAAAGUUUUUCGUUUUCAGUUUUUAUGUUCUUGCAGGGCAUUUAUGUGAACGUAAUUCCACAGAUCGUCUUUCAUGCAACUUGUUCUCUAUUUAUUUCUCUUUUUGUACACUCAUGUUUAUUUCCUAUUCCGCUUUGAUUUAUUCUCUCAAAAACCAGAAAUAAACAAGGGUGUGAAGGGGAAAAAGGGUCGUGCAGAAAUCAUCACAUGAAGAAUGUGGUUUCUAAUUCAAGUUACAAUUCAGCGUACAUAGAUGCAAGAUAAAAUUAAAAGGACACGAUCCAUACCUUUAUCAAGAUGUUUGGCUAUGGUUGACAGAUGACAUAAAUUUAAACUGCAAGAUAAAAUCGCGCAAUCGCAUAUGAGAUGCAAACUCAAUUCUGUGGUCUCCCAAAAACGACUGUCCUACAAAUCUGGUCACCGAGAGUUCACGAUAGAUGAACCCUAUUUUCUACACUCUACUGAAAACAACUCAACUGAGAUCGUCUUCGUUGGAAGUGUUACAAAUGCUUUUCGGAUGUUUUUCUCAACAAGCAGCUAUGACUCUAAAUGAAUAGCGUAAUAUUGAACAUAGAUUCUGACCUAAAUAGCUGACCACAUUAUGUGAUAGCUAGUGUGAAAAUGAUUGACCAAGCUGUUCCAAGAAUAUAUGUUAAUCUGCAACCUGCUUCCCCUGAUUUCACAUUCGGUCAAAAUUUAAAAUUUUUGAAGCUGAGUACCCCAAACAAAUCCUCAAGUCUCCUUUAUUCAUUGCAAUACGACACUGUUUAAACCUUGUCAGCUCUCGUGCUGGUAUGACAAUCUUCAGAUUUGAGGAUUCAAAAUGUUUUCAUAAUCAGCUGAUGUCCAUCAGAUACUAUAUUUUGCAGCUAAUUUGUACAACAUCAGUCAUUCAGUCGUUUUGGCACCUAUCAAACAAGGAUGUGGCUAGAACCCAAGGUUUCUCCGUUCCAUCUUACUUUCUAAGGUUUCUCCGCAUGAACUUACAGUUUCCACUUUAUAGUUGGCCACCAGAAGAAAACUCAAGAAGGUUUCAAAAGGAUAAUGACUUCUUAAUUGAUGUGAAAGGAGUUACCUUUUCCUUAAACAAUCUGCAACACUUUUAUACACCCGUCUGAAUUGGCAGCAACCACCAUGUCUGAUUUCCCUCUCCAGCAGACACUCGAAACCCAUUGUGCACUAUAAUCAUUGGUCUCCUUUCCAGAAAUAGGAUCAAUGGAGCCAAACUUGUGUGAAGUGAUCGGCAUAGGCAGAGAUCUAUGGUAAGCAUAAACCUGGAAGAUAUCAACACAAAAGGUUAAAGUAGUUGAUUAUAUUAUGAUUAGACUGUAUAUCUCGCACAAGCACUGUCUAGAAGUUACUAGCUCACCUUCAAUAUUUCCUUUUACCUGUUUUUAUUUUUGGUUUAAUAUUUCCCUAUAACUCAACUAGAAGCCCAUUCGUUCUUCAUUUUAUUAAUACAAGUACCAUGUAGCAUGGGAAUUAAAUAUGCACCUCAUUUGUUUCUGAACCACAAGCUAUGUAAUCAUCUGAAACGGAUAACCCGACAAAGUUCUGGGGGAGUAAGCAUCCAAAGUGUGACCAACCGAGAAAAAGAAACAUAAACUUGGUCAGACAGUUACAAUGUAGUUAGAGCAAGUGUUAUCUAGAUCUCAAAAUCGCACAGAAAUAAAAAUAGGUUCUAGCAUAAAGAGCCAAUAAAAAAAUUAGUGGGGUAGCCAACCUUCUCAUUGGUGUGCCCACCAAGGCUUAGGCUGCAAGCAUCGGUGGAUGUAUCACUCAUACUGGUUUUGCUAAGAUCCCAUAGCUUUAAUGUGUUGUCAGUGGAUGCAGAAACAAGGGUCUCUGAGUCCAAAAAUUUCACAUAGCUUACAGCUUUCUUAUGCCCAUCCAAUACGCACCACGGAAUUUUAGUAUUACGGAGAUCAUAGCAGUAGGUGUAGUAGUCCGCACUCCCGAAGGCCAGCAAAUGAGAGGAGUGAGAAGAGAACUGUACACAGCAUACAUUUGCAGCGUGCUUGAUGGUAUCUAAACUGUUUCUCUGAAAGAACCAUCCCCAAAAAAAGGGAUUUCAGAAGCAUCACAGAAAAUCUUAAGUAGUAAUCAGUACCAAAAUGAAGAAGUUCCAAAGUGAAACACAAAUAUGUCUGGCAUCAUUUGGCCACAAUACCUUUACGGAGAUAGUGCUAAAUUUUGACCACCAAAAGCCCCAUCAGCACUUGUGAUGAGGCACUGAUGCAGAUAAUAUGGAAACAUUUUAUUGGGGUUAGUUAUGUCAAUUGAGGAUAUCAUAUUGUACUUUAACUUUGGAAUUUUUAUAUUGUGUCGGCCUUGCUUGAUUGUAAUUGAGAUUUAUUAACUAUUAGGAGUUGUCUUCCCCUAACUACAGUUUCCGUAUUAGCUGGGUUUGGACUGCCUAUCAUAUAAUACGCCUUAUUGUUAUUGACAAUCCGAACCCAGUUACAAAUAAAGCUAAUGAGAAAACCCCGAUAAUAAUGAAAAUCAAAUCCUAGCUAAAAAAAUCCCAACAAAAAUUAAGCAAGGCCUACAUAACACAAAUGUAAGACAUAAAACCUAAUGUGAAAUCCCAAAAUGCAGAAAUGUAUAAAAAUGUCCACGUUAUCUGGCCGUUCUCUUAAGGGUUUCUCAAAUAUGCUGAAUUACUUUCGAUCAGCAAGAUUUGUAGAUCAGCAGCAAACAUAACUCAUUUAAAUAAGAAUCAUAAGAAAUCAAAGAGUUUCUUGAAUAGUAAAUUUGCAUCUUAAAGUGAGCAAAUCCUAUGAUUUAUAUACAAUGGAAAAAGACAGAAACACACACACAAAAUAGUAAAUUUGAGUCUUAAUAUGAGCAAAUCCUGUGGUUCAUGAGAGAGAGAGAGAGAGAGAGCAUGCCUCGUUGAUGCUCCACAAUUUCACACAACCAUCAUCACUCCCAGUGGCUAAUUUUGUAGGAUAUACUUGAGAAAAGUCUACAGACCAAGCCCUCAUUGCAUGCUCAGUGUAUUGAGCAAACUCUUGACCAGUGCUGGCAUCCCAUAACUGGAUAUCAAUAUAAGUAUAUAUUACGUUAUAUGCAAUGCAAGUAUUAAUUAAAAAUAAGGGCAAGCAAUAGUCACUUAUUAGACAAUAUAUUGGGGAAAAAUGAGCCACGAACAAAUCCAUGAGAAAAGACAUGGAUAGACAAAGCUUAAAUAGUCAUAGAUCUCUAUUAGACUACUUCUGUGACACAUAUAUCAAAAGGAUGAACAUGCAGAUGCUAUCAGGUCAACAUUCAGACAGCAAUAUUUUUUUUCGGGUGAGGAUCCCGGAGAUCCUCAAAUCACAUCCGUUCAUCACAUAGUGCGGUCAGAAAUUAUUGUAAUUUUUUUUAUUUAAAAUUGAAUAUAAACAGUACCUGACCAAAACUGGACGCAUGAUGUACGAUGAACGAAUGUGAUUGGAGGAUCCCCGGGAUCUUCACAAAGAGGAUCCGGCGAGGAUCCUUUCUCUUUUUUUUCAGUAACACAAAACAGUCAAUAUGUCACAGGAUAUACAGACCUUGAUUACACCAUCAUAAUCAGAUGAAGCCAGAUAGUUUUUUAUAUAGUUGUUCCAGCAAACACAGCUGAUCCUUGAUUUGUUUGACAUCUCAAUCACUGGAUAAUGAAUAUCAGCAGGAUUGUUGAAGAAAGCAUUAAACUCAAAAAUCUUGAUUUUCAUUGAAACCCCGGCAGUAGCAAAAUAGUCUUCAUCCCGAUCAAAACUCAUAGAGGAAAUUACUUUAGAGGAACUGCUGAAAUCUCCAUUUCUUAGUAUACCACGUACUUCAAACUUACUAUACCGAGCAUAUUUACACAAACCAUCAAAGAUGGCUCCCGGUCGAUCAGUGCAUAUCUCCUUGUCUUCAUCCUUUGUUCCCACAUACCAAUUAUUGCGAGUUCUUAAUAAAUCUUUAUCGCUGCGUAUUCUAGAAUCCGUCUCAGGAAUCUGAAUUCUUGAUCUCAUCAAGAAGUAAGCACUCUCAAACUGAUCUAUAUUUUUCAUCAACCUCGACUCAUUUGAACUAAGAACAGGAAAUAAUGGAGAAAGCACCUCUGACCUUGAAUCUUCUUUGCUAAUGAACAUAUUUUUCCUUAAGGAUUCACCGUACAAGCCACAAUCAAUCAAGGGUUUUCUUGCAGAGUGCCUCCUCUCCACUUCUUCAACAUCUGCUUCUAAGAACUGAACUGUUUCCAACAAAGUUGCAUCAUGGUUCUGCAUCUGUUCUUUCAAAGAAGUGAGGAAAUGCAAUAAUAAAUCCAAUUCUGCGUCCUCUUGUUCCACAGAAGGUGACAAUUCUUUUACACAAACCUCCUGUAACCCGUUAAGUACUUCAGAUUGUAGAAUUUGCCUGUCAUAACCAAUGAUCGCGUCACCCAAAAAAAAAAACAAUGAUCAUAAACUCAGAAGUCAGGAUAGUGCAUCAGACUACACAUUGAGGUUCCAUUUUAAAUUUUCUUAUAUAUUUUUUUUUGGAUGUGAUCAAAGUGAUUACAGACCUAAUACAACUUUCAUCCAGUACAGGUUACACUUAAGUAUUCACUAAAGGAGCCUGAGGGCACUUCAGAAGGGUAUUGAGAGACUGAACAAUAAAAUCAAACUCUAAUCAUUUGUACAUCCAAAACAAACCUGGAAGAUCAUUGAUGAAAAAUGAAAAAUUGAAGGAUGAUGAGGUUAACAUACAAAGCUUCAAGCCUUCAGUACAUGAUGAUUAUUAUUUUCCUAAAAAAUAAAAAGCAUUAUCCAAUAUCCACAAGUUUCUAUCGACCAUUGAAAAAUUUCUUGAAAAAAAUAAUCCUCCACGUGAACCAGGUUUAUUUCAAUUGUAAUUCAAGGUAAUAUUAAUUAACUAUAAUAGUGGAGCCCUAGAACAUGGUAUGGGAAUAGGAUUUUUAAAUUCAGGUUUCACAUACUAUUUAUGGUCUUCAAUUUUCUCCAAUUGCAUUUCAAUCUCAUUGGGUUUUUCUAUGUAUUAAUAAACAUGUAUAACACCUAUUUGGACCAUCCUUGACACCACGACUUAUGGUUCAAUCAACUAAUAUCUACAAGAUAUCUUUUAUGGAACAAAUAUUCUAAAUAUUACUCCCUUCCAAUAUUACCUUCAAAACUGUUUACUUAACACUCAUAGAUUCAAAAUUUCCGUACCCUAUGUCAACUAAAAUGUUAUGAACUCACAUGACAACGGUUCAGGACUACCUUGUCGUUGGGCGUGAAGAUGGUUCAGGAUGAAGAAGCCAAAUAAUAAAUCCAGCCUCCAUAGCAUUUUCUGACAGAAAUUUUGGGGGAAGAAUUCUGUAGCACAGGUUGGACAUUGCUGCAGCAAGGGCGCUAUUUGAGUCAAAAUGAGCAAGUAACUGAAAGCAAAGACCCAAAUUAAUCCAUCAGAUUUUUCAUUCAACUCGGAGAAGAAAUAUAAUGUGUCAAAUGCAGAAACAUUAAUCAAUUUGCACCUCGAAAAGAAGAACACCAAGAUCAUAGACAUUUGAUAAAACUGUGUAACUUCCUUCACUGAGUUCCUCAGGACUAAUAUACCACUUCUCUUCCAAUAGCUCAUUUAUUGAAGUAAACUGCUGAGUUGCAUAAUGCAUAUGAGGACUGGUGAACAUGGUACGUAUCUCAUGCCUUAUUCUUGGAUGUUGUUCACCAAAUGCAUCACUUUUGUUCUGCAAACCAGUGAUGUUGAUGUGGCUGUUAUUCACAUUAUCAUGCAUGAAGUAGGAAGUGGUAGAGAACUGGGGCCAUUGCAAUCUAGUAUUCUCACUGACCCUUUGCUUUUUCCUUACUGGACUAUUUUCUAAAAGAGAUAUAUCUCUCUUCUUCGUACUCUCAAGCAUCUCGCUUGGGACUGGUAAGCCAACAUACUUAACCUGAUUUGAAGGUAACAACUUGAAGAAAGAAGGUCGCAAUCCAGGCAAAGCAACUCCUUUAGAAUGAAAAUUAUCCACCAGAUCCACUAUCUGUCUAAAUAUAUACAAGCAUUCAGCUUUAUUCGCUUUAGGACGUCCAGUAUUCAGCCAUUCUCUCAAACUGUUUUCAUCAUGAUAAGAGCCACCAGCCGUACGUCCAGCAUUAACACCAUUGGAAGAAGGCAUAAUAACAUUGGCAUCCAUACUCAUUGUUGGAUCAGAAGCUGCCAAAGGAUCACCGGCCACCUUUGAACUAUUCAGGUUUCUAGAUUCAAUGUGACAAUUCUCAUGGUUCAGACCCUUCAUUAUGACACCCUUACCCUUCAGUGUAUUCUUAACAAAGAACUCGGAAAAGCCUGGCCUAGAUAGAAUUUUUGUUCGGAUACCUGCAUAAGUAUUGCCUGAAGCCCCUGUAUUUUCAAUGUUUGUUAAUUCUUCCACAACAUCAUAGUGAUUGUCACUUAAUGCCCUUUGAUUCCAAAAACCGGAGACAGAUGUGGACCCCUCAUUCUCCAAGCCACCAGAAAUUGCCUUCCCAUUAUCCUUGAAUGCAGUAUUGACUUGUGAACUCUCACUUCCUGAUCCACUUGCUAGCUGAAAUAAAUGUUGUUGUGGGUUCUGCCAAAAUUGCAUUCUUCCUUGAUUGUUGUAAUUUCUCACAGUUGGCUCUUCCUCCAUGGAACCAACAUCAUUCAUAGAGCCAAGGCUACCAUAUGGGUGUUCUAAUUCGUUAACAGGGCUCAUAGCCAUAUCUACAUUCUCUACAAACUCAUGCCGCGAGCUUAAGGGAUAAUCACCCUCAACUGGUAUACGCAUCGAAUAAUCACAUUCACCAUAUGUACACAUUUCUUGGCAUUCCAAUGGGUUGCCGUUUUCAGAUUUAACUGAGUGCUCAUUCUCUUUCCUCUCACGUUGUACAACCUCUGCUAAAUCUAAUGGGGUCACUUCCUCAUCCACUGCAUCCUCCAUAAUGUCUAAACUGAUUUCAUUCAACAAAAAUCUUCAAGGCCAAUAAGGGGAUUUGUUCGCUGAGAGACCGUGUGCAAGUACCUAAAUCAUUCCGCAAAGAGUGAUAAAAACUGUAAGACUAUAAGAAAGGCAAAAGCAAUAGCAUGCAACCACCGCUUCACAAUGAUACUUAGAUAUAGUUCCAGUCAAUCUGAACUGAAAUUCAAGAUCAAUUCAUCAACCUUCAAACGUCUUCCGAAUUUUAUGUACACAUAAAAACAUAAAAAACAGAACAAAGAGAACCAAAGUUGAUCAAAAUUCUUCAUGUACACAGUACAACAUGUUAACAACAGCAAUACCUACUUAAUUACAAACACUUGAUGCACAAGUUAAUUACACAAAUACAUAAACUAAUCAAAAUUACAGGAAAUUUAGUAAUUUUCAAAAAAAAAAAAAAAAAACAGAGAAAUUCAAGUCUCACCUAAGACUAACAAGUAAUAACCAAUAACUCAGCUAACAAGUAUCAACUUAUCCCACCUCCAACAUUUCUAUCUCCAAAUUUUCUCGGCAGCCAAACAGAAAGUACAAUUGAAACUCAAAAUCCAAAAUCCCAGCAAUUAAUGCACACACACUCACCUGAAUUGGAGCUUCCAUGCCAAACCGCGAAACGCCGACGGCUCAGUUCUCCGAAGCAGGAAGAAUCAGAAAGAGGCAAAAAUUGGAGCUCAAAAACCCUAAGGAGAGAGCCAAAGCUGAAGAACAACUGAAGAGAGAAUCAAAACCCAAAGCAUGAAAGUAUUUCCUUUUUUUAUGCCAGAAAUGGAAAAUAUCAUCGCCUUCGCUAUUUGCCGACAAUUUUCUCGCUUUGUUAUUUUCUUUUUCUGCAAAAAAAUUUCAGGUUUUACGAAAUUAAUUUUCCAAAACUCCUUGUGCACAAAAAAUGGAAAAUGGGGUUACAUUCUUGUUUGUUUUUGGGGAGUUUUAAUAAACACUUCUGUUGUUGUCUACUUUUUACGUAAAGGGUAUUUUUAUUCUAAAAAAUCAUUCAUGGUAUUAUUAAUUUACAAUACAUUUUUGCUCUUUUGAUUAAAACUCAAAGUUUUCAAGUCAUUUUCAUUAAUUUUCCCAACGAAACACUCAUAAUACGGUUUACUUUUAACAUUAAAGAUAUUUUUAUUCUAAAAAGUCAUUUUGAUACUAUUCACGUAUUUUUAUGACAAUUUUUAAUUUUUAAUAAAAAGUAACGGCAUAAAUAGAACUGUUGCUGUUAGCUGGACCAGCAAGCCCAUUUGGUCUUACAUGCGAAUGUUUUUUAUUAUUAUUUAUUUAUUUAUCGAAUUCGUGUGAAUGGUUGAAAUUUGAUCUUACGUGCGAAUGCAUCUUGCACCCUAAGUCACGAGUUCAAUUUUCUUCUUUCUCAAUAUCAUUUUAUUAAGAAAAAAAUAAGAAGAUAAAAGUGCAGCUUAUGGAUCAAACUAGUAAUGUUAGGAAAACUAAAUUUUUAAAUCAAAUUAUGUAGUUGUUGAUGGUUAGAUUAUUACUCAAGUGUUGAUUAACAUAUUUAUUUCCUAUUAAUGACACAUUAUCUAUUUGCAAAUUUGGUUUAAAAUUUUAAUUUUCCUAACAUUAUUUUGUACAAAAACUGUCACAACCCAUCCCGAAAGAUAUUCUCUUAUCCAAACAUAAUGUUAAGUUCUUUUUACCAAUAAACAUAGUGUUCAGCUCGUCAUACCAAUAUUUUUUGUUGUUAUUGCAAAUUCUCUUUUAAUAAUGUGGAAAGCUAAAUUCAUAAAUCUUAAGGCUAAAAAGAGAACUAUAAUAUGCUAUUCUUAAUUGAUUAGUGAGUAUUAUUGAUGGUGCACAAGUCCUUGCUUGUUCGGCGUUCUACCAACUUAGUAGUACAUAAAUCAGCCAAGUUGGCUUUGAUUUGGUUUCUCAUUAGUUUGAUAUGUAAUGUUCUCUUGAAUGAUUGCAUGACUCUUUUGUCCAAUUAAAAGGAUAUUUAUAACAUUUUUACCUGUGAUUUAAACAUUUUUAUUCAAAUUUAAUGAAUGAAUUUCUAUUGUUCAGCAAAAAAGACAAGAUUAAGUACUCAAAACCCCCUAACUUUUUAGUGUCAUUGCAAAUUAAUUUCAAUUUUUUUUAACAUUCCAAAAAAGUACUCAACCGAUUAAAAAUAUCACAUUCGUUAAGCCCCAGUUAAUUUUUCAAGCAUAGAUUAUAUUCAAACCCGCUAAUUGGGUAUAUCAGGGAGAAUAUUAAAAUUAGUUGCCUCAAAAUCUAAAUUUUAAACAUAGAUUAUAUAAUAUGGAAUCAAAUGAUCAAACAAGUGUUGAAUUGAAUAGAAGAUGGACUUAAAUUGAAAUUACAUUAUGAGAGCAAUCUCUUAACAUAGAAGAGGGUUAAGAAUUCGGAUGGGUUUCAAGAAGCUUGUUUUUGCAUAUGUGAUUUCCUGUUUCGUUGAUUCUCGACUCGUAAAACUUCUAGUUCUUCUUUGGGGGCGAUGAAGAUGAUUGUAGCCGCAUCAUGGCAGUCUAUACUAUUUCAGCAACCUCCAUGACCUUCUUCUGAUGUUGGCAGCUUAAGUUGUAGAGUGAAGUCGGUGGUUUUGCGUUAGGUUUGGAGGUGAUGGCCUAAUGGGAGUGGUGGAACUGUUAGUUGGAGGAGGCAAAUGCGUCCCUUGCCUUCAAUUCAUUUUAUAAACAAAAUAAGCCUAGUUAAUCUAAUAGAUUUUUAACUGGGGCUUAACGGAUGUGACAUUUUCAAUAUGUUGGAGACUUAUUUAGAAUAUUUAAAAAGGUUAAAACCAAUUUAGAAUGACAUUAAAAGGUUAAUCCAAAAAAAUAUGUUUAACAAAUUAGUUAGGUAAGUUGGGUAAAGUAUUACAUGUGCAUUAGAACUAAUAUGUUGAACAAAUUAGUUAGGUAAGUUGGGUAAAGUAUUACAUGUGCAUUAGAAUUGUUAGUUCGUUUCCUUUCUUGUAAUAAUGCAUAUUUUCCUCAUGUUAAUAUAAAAUUAGAUCUUUUUGUACGAGAUUGCUUCAUGGAUGGUAGAAAAGCUCUUGAACAUGCAUAGAAAUCUCGAUUUGUCAAACUAUAGCUAGACUCGCUUUAAAUGAUGUGAUGAUGCUGGUUUCUUUUCAUUGUUUAUGAUUCUAAAUCAUUCUCUACUCAAAAGAUAACUCGUUGUAAUAUUUUAAAAGACAAAAUUAUACCACGAAUAUGAAAAAUAAAUUGAAAAAAAGAAAAGAAAAAUGUAUUACAAAAUAGGUAUUCAUAAAUGGAUUAAGUCUAUAUUGGUGUUUAGUUUGAUCCAGGGGCCAAAAAUACUUUGCCAUCUCAUAUGAUAUCAAGAAUGUAUGAAGAUGGAGAUUUGUCCAUCAUUAAUGUUUGGUCAACUACCUCCUAUAUUCUAGAAAUAACAUAAUUAUAUGAAGAAAAUUUUGAUAAGAAGCUUCAGAUUUAGAGUGACGUCAUUUCAAUAAAGCAUUUCUGAUAAAAAAAAAACUUAUUAUAAACAUGUUAGAAACCUUUAUUGAAACUUCAAAGCACUUGAUGUUAAUUUAGAAAUCGCUUUUAUAACAUAAAAGCAUUUUUAAAUGCAUUUGCCAUAUUGUUUUUCCUAAGAUCAUCUUCAAUUCAUUAAACUAAGAUUCAUCUCGUGUAAUCAGAGAAUGAUGAAACAUUUUUUAGAUGCCAAAUAUACCUUCCAAAGCAAUGUUGGCAGUUAAUUACCACUUUUUCACUAAAAAGUUAAUUCGACAAUUUCUUUCUUUUUUUUUUAUAAAUUUUUUGUGUCAUUAAUUUUAUUCAACGAAUCAUUUUAAUCAAAUCAAUUCCUAACAAUACUAUAGUCGCAUUUUGUUAAAUCAUGUGGGACCCCAAAAUUUAACUUAGACACUUUGUUCUUAUCAUUAUGAUUAACAUUUUCGAUUUGUGUUCUUAAAAAAAAAGAUUUUAGGUUAAAUUCUGGUAAAAAAUAAAGAAUUUAAACAACAUUAUUGUUAGUGCAUUGUGAAGCUUAACUCAUUCUCAUUAAGUUAUAUCAUGUGUUAAAAAAUAAAAAAGAGGUGGUGGGAGGCAGAGAGAAGUGGGUGGCGCUCCAAGGGGCACGUUGGUCCAAAGACCAACAUAUGGGCUGCUGCAUGUGCCACCCAACAUGUUAUCACGGUUAAAUCACGUGCCCCAUCAUGGGGACAAUGCCGCUAGUAACCAUUCGGUUUGUUCAUGCCAUGUCAUCGACCAUUGUCGGCUACAUGUGCUGGAGCUACGAGCACAAAUUCAUGGGUUGUUUUGGGCUUGAAAGGCCCUAAUACCAUAUACUUGGAUGAGAAGCAAUCCCAUGGUGCCCCCAGCUGUCCUGGCCCGGGUGGGUACCCCAUUCUGUCGUACUAGGUAUCGCAUUGAGAGAAACUCAGGUAGCUCUCCCAUCAACCAAGACCAAAUGCAAAGGAUCUCGAGCUUUUGUGAGAGGUAUGUACAUAUAACGUGGUUAGGCGAUUCUACCCAAGUUUUUCAGGUACUUGACCUACAUUCGCUACCUAUUUCAAACAUCAUCAGGUAGCAAAUAUGACAACGUAAAAAAUUUGGUGUAAGAGAAUGAAAUUGUAACUUGCAAACAAGGUUCUAAAAGACGCUAGUCACUAGUCGGGCGGCAAGCUGGGGCCUAAUGAUUAGGCAGCUAGGCGGAUUUAAGUAAAUCUAUUAUAUUUCGUGUAAAUAAGUGUCUGUUUCUACUUAAAAUAUAUAUAAUUUCAUUCUAAACUACAAAAUAGAAUGACAUAUAUAUUAGGAAGUAUUGGAACAUAAUUAAAACAUGGGAAACAUGCAUAUAAUGUGUAUUCAUUUAAGCAUUCAACAAGUCUCUUACAAUUUAUUGAAAAAAAAUAAAAUACAAAAUGAAAGUUAUCUAUUUUUUGUUUAAGUGAGUCGCAACUUAGGCAGUCUAGGCGGGUGCCUCAGUAGCUCUAGGCACCCUUUCUUAAUUUUCAAACGCUUAGGCAUUAAUCGGGGCAAUGGCCAACCGCCUAGCACCUAGACAGUGCUAAGCGGGGAUGUUUAGAACAAUGCUUGCUAACAAAACCUGUUAAUUUUACUUCUUCAAAAAAAAAAAAAAAAACCUGUUAAUUUUACAUUUGUGAGAAAACAAUCAAAUGCAUGGUGGUCUUAAAAUUUCAACCCUAAAGAAGAAAAUAAGAAUAGCAGAAGCUUCAGAUUCCAAUGUACUAGGUUGGAUAGGUAGUAGAUCAUCUGCUGUUUCUUCUAUCAUAUUAUCAUUCUAUCUGUAUAACUUGUAUCCCAAGAAACAAAUCAAAGGCUUCAGGUCAAAUCUGAAUCACAUCUCAUAAGUUUCAAGUUUCAACCAUCUCAAACAUUAUCUUUGAAUGGGAUGAUCAAAAACGAAAACAAGCUAAACCACAUAUAGAAAGCAUGCAAUAGGAAUUCUUCAGUCCAAACACCCGUAUAUCGACUCCACACAAGGGGGCGGGACCAAAAUAAUGGGGUGUGGGGCGUUUUGUGUGCGGUUGGACGCCACGUGGUCUGUCAUCCGCAACCAAGACUUUCUCCAUGUAAUAGGGCAGUAAAUUAAAGAAAAGGCUAUUAACUCACAAGUUACAUUCUCAAUUUAUUCUUCUUACCCUUGAUAUCAAAUCAAAUGGUGAGUGACCAUGAAUUCUCCAUGGUCAACUGAGAGAACAUUUUUGUAAUGAAAGAUACAAUGCUAGGAAGGUUCGAUGUCUUACUCAACAGAUACAAACAACAAGAGCAGCAACAAAGCAUUAUCCCACAAGAUAGGGUUUACUCAACAGAUAUACAACAACAACAACAACAAAACCUUUUCCCACUAAGUGGGGUCGGCUAUUACUCGACAGAUAUAACUCACAAAAAAGAAAAAAAAUUAUCCUUUGAUUUCAUUUUUCUUCCUCUACUCUCCUGUUCUUUUUUCCUCCUUGUUCAUUCUCAAACUCCGGAUGUGCCCUAUUUGUGGUGCUUUUCUCUGGACUUGUCAAGCACAAUUACUUCGGACAUGCCUCAAUUUGUAUGUUGUCUCUCAAUUGCAUUGCAGUGCAAGGACUCCCUUGAUUGAGCUGAUCUUUGAGAUCUUGAAUUUCCUUGAUCAUCUCCACCUUGUCUUUCCUCUCAGCUUCGAGACUUCUUUCCAACUUCUUCACGAAACACUUCAGAGAUCCAAGCAAUGAUUUCUGCUCGCCAAUUAAGAACUCGUAGCCCUCUUUCAGCUUUUUCUUCUCCUCUUUUUCUUCUUUUAGUUUUGUCUUCAAUUUUUUUGUUAUGUCCUUACUCUCUAUCUUUGCAUUUAUCCUAUUCAAUUUUCCUUGAGCUUCUGCAAGUCCAGCACUUGCAUUUUGAACCAUUUCCUCUCUAUCUUCAGAUCUUUUUUCCAAGCCCUCAUUGUUGUUCAACCUUUCUGAAAUAGUACGAACUGAGAGGAAUUUCGUUUGUGUCUUCUGAGCUCGAAAUUCACAUCCUGAUGAGGCCAGUGUAUCAUCUAAUAGAUUCUCCCCUUCUUCUCGAUCUUCUUGCCCAUCUAUCUUAGCUUCUUCGGGUGGCAUUUCCAUUUCUUUUUUGUUCUUCUCCUUAAAGCUCAGCUGGACAGGUGCAUUAUCCAAACAAAUAGGAUAUCAGCAUCUACAAGUAAUUCCUAGCAAUAGUAUACCGAUUCCAACUACAAUGUAUUCUAUACCUAGUGUUACGUAAAUGCUAAAAUAUAAUAACUAUACACUUCCCCAAUCUCUUCGACGUCUAUUUGUUCCAGUUUGAAGUGUAGUUCCCAAGUGUUCCAUUUUACUAGAGCCGGUUUCUGUCCCUCCCUUCCACUGAUUGGUUGUAUGAGGUUAGUUCUCUCGCACAACCAAAGCUGUUAACAUGAAAAUAAAACGUAAUUACAAUCACUUAUGGAGGCACUAAUUACAUUAUAAAGUUACUAUACCACAAUUGUUACCGUUAUGACAGCCACACAUCCAGGAAGAGAAUAUCCCUCGGACCUCCUGGUCCGUUUUCCCAAUGAUUCGUGUAGAAGGUCCGCCACUGCUUUUGCCCAUGAAUAUCUUGAAAGAUUUUCUAAAUCUUCACAAUACUCGACUAAAUUCCAUGAGACGACUUGGUUUGUGUUACACAAUAAGAAGGUAGCGCAAAGUUCUGUUAGAAUCAGGCGUGCAACAUCCUCUGCAUCUGUUUCUCUCUUCCCUUUUAUUGCUGCUUCCAAGGCAUUAUCCACCAACUUCUCGUACAAUAUUGUUUCUUCCUCGAAACACCUUUUGGUAAAAUCUGAUAUGUGUUUCGUUGUUCCUUUUAAUUGUACUUCUUGACCUUCCCGUGGAAGCCCCAAAAUUUCAGCAACGUCUUCAGUUGUCAACGAUGCAGAUGUAGUACCAAACUCAAAACUCAUUGUUUCGGCGUUGUAGCACUUCAUGAUGUUUCCAAUGCCAGCUUUCGAUUUCUUGCAUUGGUCUUCAGAAAUCAGACCAUUAUAGAAUGCCGAUAUUAACGGCCGAAAUGGAGUUUGUUGAAGCAACUCCAAAUGCUCUUCAGUCAAGUGUUCCUUAACUCGCUGCAUCGGAUUAAAAAAUGAUAUCAUAUUACAGCGGUAUCGCACCUGAUCUCCUCUUACCCUCGUCCAACUUCCCAUAUUCCUCUUUUCCAUUUUCUUGUUUUCCAUGUUCUUGUUCUUCAUCUUAUUUGGGUCCCGGUCUGUAACCUAUAUAUAUAUAUAUAUAUAUAGAUGUGCAUUACAAGCACGUAGUUUUAACACAAGAAAGUCAAAGUAUAUUUUAACUCUUCUUUCUUAAGGAUCCGUAAGGAAACAAAAUAGACAAAUACAAUAUUUCAGAAAAAUAAAUUGACAACCAUUUGAGUGAUAUAUAGUGUCCGAUUUUAGUUGCUUUUUGCAAUAGUGGUCAUUGAGGGACAACCUAAAAAUUAGACACCGGUUGAGAUAAUUGAAAUAUAAUAUAGGAUGAUCCCUAAAAAGUGUCCAGCAAAUAAAUUUUAUUCAGAUGAAUACCUCAUAGUGAAGCUACAUAUAUGUCGAAAUUUAAAAUUGGGUUUACGUUUUACACCAUCGAGGUUUGGGGGUAAUUUCAAAACGAGCUAUGAGGUUCUAAUUUUUCACAUUACACCUCAACCCUUUUACAUUAGUCCAAUCUACACCUUUUGAUAGGUUUAUUAUCUAGUCAACCAUUAACUGCUCAUGUAUCCGGAGCACUCAUAUUGCAGACCCACUAACCGUGCCACCAGAAAACACAUUGAGGACAUUUUAGGGGUGGGUCCCUCACUUCCAAGUCAUUAGUGAAUGGUUGACCUAUUAUAAAAGGUGUAAGUUCGUUGAAUAUCAAAACAUCUGGUGUAUCAUGAAAAAAUUGGAGCCUCGUGACCUAUUGUGAAAUUAAUUCUAAAAUCCGAUGGUGUAAAACGUACUUAGCUCUUAAAAUUCCAACAUAUUUAUAUAGAAAUCAGACUACAAUCACAAAGGCAGAAUCAUCA